rnacentral:lncRNA from 1 species
AUCUCUCUCUCUCUCUCUCUCUCUAUAUAUAUAUAUAUAUAUAUAUAUAUAUAUAUAUAUAUCAUUUUGUAUUUAUCAGCCACUUCAACAACUAAUUUUACCAAAAUUUUAAUAAACUAAUUUUUCAGCUAUAAGCUAUCAGUUAUAAGACAUAAACUAUAAGCUAGCUUUUCAACUUUCAGCUAGCUUAUAGCUUAUUUUUACCAAACACCCCAUAUACGUUCAUAAAUUUUGUUCCAUUCCAAAACCUAGAACACACAUAACAUGCAAUUUCUUCUUCAUUCUUCUUUCCAUCUUGAUUUUUCAAUUCUCUCGUUCCAGAAUUGCCGCCGUUUUCCAAUUAUCGUGAUAAUCGUUGUCGUCCUUUUGAUUUCAGACAUUGUGAGAAUCGGUGUUGUUUCCAUAAUCACAUCAGGUAUCGUGACUUGAUUUUUCUUCUUGAUUUGAUUUUUCAUUUUCGUUUCUUUCUCACUGCUAUCGUGACUUGAUUGCAACCGUUUCACACUUAUAAUGCAACAGUGGUGACUUUCAACUUUGGCACGUAUUCCAAUGAUGCUUCCAUUUUUAUUUGGGUUUUGAGUAUGAUUGAGUUGUUUGAGAUUAUAUAAAAUUGUAUUUUAUCACACAAAUUUUGUGUUUCAUUAAGAUAAAUGGAUCUUCAAUGUGUUGAUUAAUUUUAUUUUUGGUAUAAUAUUGAUUAUUAAAUUUACUUUUGGAAUUUGUUUUAUUCAAAUCAUUAUAUUGUGUUGUUAUGUUGUUUCUAUUUCUGGUGAACGUUAAUUCGAGAGCAAUUCGUGGAUAUAGCUUUUGGAAACAACGGCGAUCUAACGAUAUCUGGAAUCAAACAGACAACAACGAUUCUCACGAUAAUUGGACAAUUCUGGAACGAGAGAAUUGAACAAUCAAGAUGGGAAGAAGAGUGAAGAAGAAAUUACACGUUAUGUGUGUUAGGUUUUGGAAUGGAACAAAAUUUAUGAACAUAUAUGAUGCGUUGAAUUUGAUGUGAAAUUUUAAUUGUUACAAGCCCUAUAGUGUAAAUUAAUUAAGAUUGUAUACCUAAAUAUCCCUUACUCCUUAAUCUUAUUAGGUUGCAACAACUUAACCCUAGAAAUUUGGCUCCAAAAUUGCAGCAUUAAAUGCUAAGUGAGAUAACCCUUAAAAAAUUUGGCUCCAAAGUAUUUGGCUGUUUGAAAUUCAAAAAUCAAACCUAAAUGUUUAUACGGUUCCCAACUAAUCCCAUCUUUUUGUUUUCCCAUGCAGGUGCACCGAAUGCUUCCCAAGUUUAUCCCUAUUUUCUAGCCUAAUUUAUGGAAAUUGCAACCAAUUAAUAGGAACGACUACGAGUACCGAGUACCGCAUCUCAUUGGAAACAUGUUCAACUCCACACAUGUGAAGAAGCACGCUACAUAUCUCUUCUCUAAGUCACCUUGCUCUUUACCCUUGAACACAACAGUUCCAUUCACCCAAGUUUCUAAAGAUUAUCAACAUAGGUAUGUAAUUUGUUCUUUCUCAAUUUCUUAUUUUCUUUCUAAAUUUGACAUCGAUUUUGAUUAACGAUUUCAUUUGCAAUUUGACUGACAAUUCCAUAGUUAAUUUUAUACUAUUCCAAUUCAAUUUUGAUUUCAGCUUUUGAUUCAUUUAUACUUUAGAUUUUAGAUUGCAUCUCUAUUAGUCUCUUUUGUUUUCAUUCUCUUUGAGUUGAUUCUCAUAAUUUUUUGUGUGCCCUUCUCUGUUCAUGUCAAUCACUAAUUUAUUUCUUCAAUUUUUAUGGUCUGCUUUUGUUCUUAUUUUCUUCCUUUUUUUUAUCUUUGACAACCGAAGUGGAAAAGAUUAACGUGUGCCAUGCUCAAUUGAUUUUGUUCAUUUUAUAAGUAAAUAAUUUUCCCACAUAUCUUCUUCAGCUCCACGCUUCUCAUUUGCUUCUUCAGGUCAACUUCUUGAUUGAUCUCCUCUAUUUUAGAAGCAUGAUCUUAAAACGGUCAUUUAUCUCCUCUAUUUUAUUUUUCAUGAUGCUUAUGGGUUUUGCAUUAUGUAUAUUUAUCAUUUAUUUUUGCACUGUUUUCAACUUACUUUGCAAACCAAUUUGUAGUCUGAACCUUUUGAAAUUUGAAGGCUUCCUGUAGAGGUUACAUAUUUCAGUUUUAUUGUUUUUGCCUCCAGUUUGAGAUUCCCACUAUUUUCUUUGUUCACUUUCAAUCUAAAAAAAUCCUUUAUUUUAAUUUUGCUAAACUCCAUUUUAAUUGUUAGUGUUCAUAAUCUUGGAGUUUACUUGGUAGUGUCUUUUUUUUUUUUUUUUUUGAGAAAACUUGCUUGGUAGUGUAUGACAUCCUCAUAUGUAACAAAUGAUUUAGUCUCCUCAUUUGUUUUUUCUGUUUUCAUAUGGUGUUUGCUUAUAUUGAUUAUUUUAGUUGUUUUGGGUGUUUGCUUAUAUUGAUUUUUUUUAUUUGAUUGCAUGAUGAUAUCCAUGAAGCAAGAUGAUAGGUAUGAAGACUGUAGCUAAAUGUUGGAAUAGAAAAGAAAAAAAGACUGAGUUUUGAUCGAGUAAGAGAGCCUUGGAAAAGAGCUUUUAAUUAAGUUUGACAACAAGCUAGAGCAAGCAUGAUAGGAGUGACUCUGGUGUUCUAAAGUCCAAUUUCGAUGUUCUUAAGUUUGAGUAUAAUAAUAUCAAUCACUUUGAUUGCAUAAACAAAUAACCAAGUUGAAUUCUGUUACCUCAGUUAUGUGAAUAAUCUUACGUUUUUUUUUUUUUUUUUUUUGCCUUUGUGGGCUGCAACUAAUUAGAGAGAUAAGAGAAUUGAAAGAAUUGAAAGCAGUGGGUUGAUUUUCAUAUAUUUUUUCUUAACAAUUUCUAUGAAUCUACUUUUUAAAAUAGCAAUUGAAAUGCACAUUAUUUCCUAAAAAAAGGUAAGGCACAUUAUUUGAAGGAUAAAUUUAUUGUUUUUUUUUUCUUUCAUAAAUUUAUAGUUUUUAGUUAUAGUUUAUAAUAGUUUUACUUCAGUUAUGUGGAAGUAAAAAAAAAGUAACAUGUUAUGGAUGUAAUAAUCUUUAACUUAUAUUACUGCGGUUAGUAAUAUGUUAAACAUGUUGACUGGAAAAAUGAAUUAAAUGAUCAGAUUGAAUUUGAAGCUAGAGUUCGGAUAGAAAAAGUAUUGACGGUUGUGUUCCAACUGUAUAUAGGAAUCUAUUGAUAAUAAUUAAAAAUAGGAAACGAAAUAAUGAAUGGAUUAUGGAUCGAUAGAUAUAUCUUUGACAUUUGCAAUUGCAUUGUUUUGCAUUUCAUUAUAGUUAAUCACAUUCAACAAUAAGAACUAAUGAUACAAACUCCAUAAGGCUAAAUAUGACUUAGAUAAUGUGUCCUUUGGCCCUUUUAUAAGCUCAUUUUGAUGAUAAUUCCCUAUUUAAUUUACUUUAAGUAUUGACUUUAUUUCAAAAAUAUUGAUCCCUUGAUAUUGAUGUAACAUUAAUACAAAGAAAGACGAAAAGAUAUUGCUAACUAUUGAGAAAAAUGAAGAUAUAAAUGUAACAUUAAUUGUAGUUUAUAAAAAUAGUAUUUUAAAAAUGUUUUGUAAUUAAUUAUUAAUAUGUAUAAAAUUUCCAUUAUAACUAUAAAGGUUGUUUUCUCAAAAUAAAAAAGCUAUAAAGGUUUUAUUCAAAAAAAAAAACUAUAAAGGUUGUAAUAAACUUAUUAUGUUCCAUAUAUCAAUACAUUUGAUUGUCUUAUUGCAAACUUAAUUUAAAUGUCAUGUAAUAUAACUUAAAUGUUUCCUUAGCAAUAACCUAAUAUGUUAAGGAAUUUAGAUACGCAACAUGGAUUAUGCAACAUAACCAGAUUGAUUAUUACUAGAAUGGGAAGAUACGUAAUCGAGGGGAAGGUAAUUUCUGGAAGUAAUAUCGGUGACAAAGUGUUUAUACCAAGGGUAUCUCUAUCUCCUUCAGAUGUCGUAAUUCCUUUUAAAUUUCAACGAAAACAAGUACCUUUAGCUGUGUCAUUUGCAAUGACUAUUAACAAAAGUCAAGAGCAGUCACUUAAGCAUGUUGGAGCGUAUCUCCCAACGCAUGUUUUUCUCACAUACAAUUGUAUAUUGCUGUUUAGAGAGUUACAUCUAGGGAAGGGAUAAAGAUUUUGAUUAUUAACGAAGAUGGUGAGGACACUACUGUGACAUCUAACGUCGUUUAUGAGGAAGUAUUUCGUAAUGUGUUGGAAAAAUUGACUCAUUUAUUUGACAUUUAAUGUUACAUUUGUAUAUUACAUUUUGAUUGGUUGAUAUCUUGAAAGGGUAAAUACCCCCUAAACAAGAUAGGGUAAUCUAGUCCUCACCUAUUGUGAGUUGUCACAAUCAAAAAUAUUUAAUGUCGUAGUAUUAUAUUAUUUUUUUUAGAGAAAUAAAGUUAUAGCAUUUCAUUCAUCAAUAUGUGUUCAAUACAAUAUGAUAUUUUUACCACUAUUUGGGAACUAGCUGAUAACAUGGCCGCUUUUGCUAAGUUAUGAGCAACCUCGUUUGCUUGUCUCCGCACAAACUCGACACGUGAGUUUACAUAAACAUUGCUACAGAGAGAUUUACAAUGUUCAAUAAUAUUCCCAAAUUCAGUGACAUCGCAAUUUAGGGAAUUAAAGCCAUCAACCACUCUCUUUGCAUCCAAAUCAAAAUUCACAGGUCCUAAGCUUAAAUUAUGCACCCAAUCUAAAGCAGACAAGAGUCCUAAAGCUUCACCAAUAUGCACCUCACAUAUGGGACUGAAACAUACUUGUUUAGCCAGAACAAAAGUACAAUUUUCAUCCCUGAUACACAUUCCUAUUCCAACCAUAUUUGAAACCUCAGAAAACGAUGCAUCAAUAUUACAUUUAAAUCAACCUAGACUUGGCUUCACCCAUUUGCCAUUAUGCGCUCGCUGUUGAUGGGUAGAUGAAGCUCCCCGAAUGAGUUUUGCUGAUCUCCAGUCCUGCAACAUAGUCUUUGCACAAUCAAAAACAAAUACUUGGGCAUCAACCACUUCGUUCCAUAUUUUGUUGUUUCGCUGCUUCCAAAUAUUCCAUAAAAUACAAUAAAACAUAGCUGCCUCUUCACUUGCAAGUACCUGUAAGGAAUUAAAGAUAACACCAUCUGCACUUUUGCUGAUGGUUGAAGAAAUUGCUAACAGCAGGGAAGCCGUUCCACAUUUUCCAAAUAGUCAUGCUGUUAGAGCAUUGAAACAGUAGGUGCAGACUGUCUUCUUCAUUCAAACUACAUAAGGCACAGCUAGUUUGGCAAUUCACACCUUUGUCACGAAGUCUGCUACGUGUGGGAAGGCAAUUUCUGCAAAUGCGCCAAAUUAGAUUUUUUAUUUUAGGUAGCACUUUGAGCUUCCACACUAAGUCCCAAGAACCUUGCACUUUAAAAUGUGAAGUGUCUAACAACUCGUUUAUACAUAAGCGAUAAACACUUUGAGCUGAAUAUUCACCGUUAUUUUUCUUCUUCCAUAUCAGCCUAUCUUCAUGCACUAAAGGAUAUAAAGGUGUGUUGAUAAUGUGCUCCACAACCUGGUGAUUGAAAAUUGAAUGCAGAAAAGGCAGAUUCCAAGACUUAUGGUUUGGUAAAAGACAAACUGAAACACACAGGUUAGCUAGUGUGGACUCAACAUCCUCAAGAGGGUAUAAAGUAACAUUAUCCUUCAUCCAAUAAUUAUUCUAGACCGGGAUAGAUGUACCAUUACCAAUUUUCCACCUACUACCGGCUUUGAGAAUGAAUUUAGAGUUGCAUAUACUCCUCCAAACAAAACUUGGCUUAUGCCCUAUAGUUGCUUCCAGAAAAUUACACCGCAGAAAGUAUCUUGCUUUGUAAAUUUUAGCAAUAAGAGUAUCAGGAUUUGUCAAAAUCCUCCACCCUUGCUUACCUAACAUUCCCAGAUUAAAUGUUUCAAGACUUUUGAGGCUCAUACCUCCAUCAUUUUUAUGCAUUACUAAUUUAUCCCAAGACAUCCAGUGUAUUCCUCGCUUGUUUGAACCAGAAUGACCCCACCAAAAAGAAUUCAUCAUCUUUUCAAUUUCAUCACACAAAGAUGACGAAAGAGUGAAUAAACUCAAAAAAGAAGUUGGAAUAGAUUGCAGUACAGAUUUAAUCAAAACUUCUCUCCCUGCCUUAGAAAUACAUUUACAACUCCAAGAAUUUAUUUUCUUCCAAACACGGUCUUUGAUAAAGUUGAAAGUUGCUUUCUUGCUCCGACCGAUCAUGGAAGGAAGGCCUAAAUAUUUACCUAUGCCCAAAACAGCCUUUACACCAAGUAUAUGAGCAAUGUUAUUAUGAUCAGCAGUUGGAACAUUCCGGCUGCAAAAUAUUUCAGACUUUUGAAGGUUGAUAGCUUGACCUGAUGCCUUCUUAUAAAUAGAUAAAAUAUCCCUCAUUUUCAAAUCUUGCCUCUGAGUUGCACGAAAAAAUAAGAAGCAGUCAUCUGCAAAGAGGAGAUGUGAAAUGAUAGGCGCAUUGUUGCAGAUUUUAACCCCAUUAAUAUCACCUCUAGCUUCUGCUUUUCGAAUAAGAGCAGAUAACCCUUCUGCACAAAUAAUAAACAAAUACGGUGACAAAGGGUCACCUUGCCGUAAGCCUCUGCAGGAAUAAUAGGACCAGUAACAUUACCAUUGACAAGAACAAAAUAGUCAACGGUUUCCACACACAACAUAAUCCAUAUAAUCCAUUGUUGAGAGAAACCAUCUUUAUCAUUACCUCCCGAAGAUAGUUCCACUCAAUUUUGUCAUAUGCUUUGCUAAUAUCAAGUUUCAGAGCCACUUCUCCAACGUUAUCCUUGACUUUCGACUUCAUAUGAUGUAUUAUUUCUAUAGCAGCCAUAACAUUAUCCAAAAUAGAUCUUCUCGGGACAAACGCAAAUUGAGUAACAGAUAUGCAUUUAUCCAACACAUUCUUCAACCUGUUAGCUAGAACCUUUGCUACUAUUUUGUAAAUCACGUUGCACAAAGCUAUAGGUCUCCAGUCAUUCAUAGUUGUCUGAGAAUCUCCUUUUGGGAUGAGGGCAAUAUUUGUGGAAUUUAAAGUCGAAGGGAAAAUACCUGACGUUAACCAACUACAACACUGAUUAAACAACUCGUCGCUGCAAGUUGGCCAAAACUUUUGAAAGAAUCCCGGAUUAAUUAAAACCUUCUAGGCCCGGACACUUGUCAGUUUUCAUUGAGAAAACCGCAGUUUUGAUAAUAGGGGCUAUAUAGCUAACUUGGGGCAAAAAUAAGUUAGUAAAAUAUUUUUUUGCCACAUCACAAAGCUUUUCUUCCUCUGUCACUCGAAUAUUAUCGUCAUCCAACAAGGACGUGAUUCUAUUCACCUUUCUUCUUGAAGAUGCCGCAACAUGAAAUAACUUGGUGUUAAGGUCGCCAUUCCGCAACCAAUGAGUUUUAGCUCUUUGUCACCAGAAGGCAUCUUCCUGGAUUAACAACUUGUUCAUACGAUUUCUCAAGUUAUCAAUGUUGUCGCUAUCCACCUGAACACGUAUACCCUCAAGUUGUUUACGACAAUCAUUAAUGUCUCGCUUAAGAUGCUGGAAAUUAUUUCUGCUCCAACCUAGUAAGAUCCGCAAGACACAGUUCAAGCUUUUCAGAAAUAGGAAAAUUACCAUAUGAUGACCACUUGUUAUUAACCAAAGUUUUGAAUUCUGGAUCGAUCAACCAAGCAUUUUCAAACUUGAAGCGUGAAUGAUUAUGGUGUUGUUGCAGGCCUGGUUCACAAAGAAGCAUAAUUGGAUAAUGAUCUAAUGAAGGUGCUGGCAAAUUUUCCAGGAUCGCAUUGGGGAAUUGUCCUUGCCAUGAGUCAGAAGCAAGAGCACAAUCCAAUCUUUCUUCCACAGCCAUAUCAGUGCCAAGGCAUUUGAACCAAGUAUAUAAAUACCCUUCAGUAUAGACAUCGGACAAACCUGCAUCAGUGACUGCAUUUCAGAAACCAUUGAUAAUCCAGUUAGCUCUUUCAUUCCUCCCCUUCUUUUCAUUUGGUGAAAGAAUAUCAUUAAAGUUGUCUAAGGAAAUUCCAAGCCCCUCGUCUACGCCCAUGGGAGGGAAAGCCAUAGUAACCAGUCACACGCCAUUUGCCUUUACUGACAUCUACAAUUUCAGCAUCUAUGUGAUUGUUGGAAUAAUUAGAAAUAGAACAACUAGCAUUUGACUUCCAAUAUAAAGCAAGACCACCACUACGCCGUUGGCGCUCAACAAAAAACAACAAUCAUAACCCAGAACGUAUUUUAAUUCCUCAGUUUUAUUAGGAAUAGAAAUAGUUUCCCAAAGAAAGAGGAUGUUCGAUUUAUAAACACGGACUAGGUACUUUAAGCUAGGAAUUGUAUGCGGGCUCCCUAAUCCCCUACAAUUCCAUCUAAUGAUUUUCAUGGCUGUUGGCGGGGCUGGUUUUCAGCCUCCGCCAUUACAAUAUUUUCAGAAAACAAAGGAUUGUUUUGGACUGAGGUAAAAUUGCCUCCCACACCAUCACCUUCAUUCACUGUGUCAACAUUCAUCUGCAUCACCACCUACUCACUCGCACCCCCAACAUUAUUACCAGCAACCUGAGUAGUAUUUGGCCUAGCACGUUUUUUAAAUUUAAUAAUAGGCACAUCUUCCAUCUUUCCUUUUCCUUUUUCAUUACUUGGCACUUUUUUUCUACUGUCAGCAUUAGCAUUAUUAGCCCCCUCUCUUAUAACAAGUGGACCUGCCACCAUUGGUCUUGCAACCAUCAUCCGUUCUUUCUUCUUAGCAUAUACCACACGCCCUGCAUCAGAUGUUUCUCCUAUGAUUGCAGCAUUAUUAUUGUUAGCACCACAAAUGCUUAGGAUAUGUUGUCCCACCCUUUGAUUGCAGCCAGUAAUUAAAGGGGACCCAUCAGUACAUAAAUUAUUACCUAUCAGCACCUGCUCCAUUUUGUUGACCACCAGCAGUUAUUCCUACAUUGAUUUCUGUAACAGACCUAUGAGAAUUGUUGUUACUUCCACAAGUUUACCCUAAACCAUUGACCAACCUCCUAAUAGUGAUUUGAUUAGCAAUGUUAGUGUCAUUUAAUUGAAAGGGGAUCCAUUGUCCCUCACCCCCUCCAUUAUGACCAAUAAUAUUGGUAACCAUCAUGGGAAAAGUAAAGCCACCUCCAUGUAGGAUUCUGACUCUUCCAAAUAAGGUAUGCUCACUUGAAUGCGCCAUAACUACGACAUUAUUAUGAUUUUCAUUCUAAUCAUGAGGGCCAUUAAUGCCAUCGGAGGCCAUUAAUGAGGGUCAUUAAUGCCAUCGUAGGAUUCUGACCACCACGCAUAGCCAUCCUUCCACCUCUCAGCCACUUGUUGACAGUGACGUUACCACCAACAGUCCUACCACCAGCAUUCAGAAAUCUCCUCCACCCAUGGACACCAUCAACAUAUCCUGGUUCAAGUCUUCUAGGACAAAAAUUGUCAGUCUGUCCCAUUAUUCCACAGAUGUAACAGAAUACACCUAGUCUCUCAUAUUUGAAAGAGACAUUGACUACAGUACCAUCCUCCUUCUCAAAGACCAUGCUUCUCCUCAAUGUUUCAACAAUGUUGAGAGCUACUCGAAUCCGCAUGUACAUUCUCCAGGGCCAUAGUAGUUACUUUCAUCGUACUUGACAAAUCUGCCAAUAUGGCAACCAAUCAGCAUUCCUACGUAUUCAUUCAUGUAACCAUGUGGAAGAUUAAACACCUGGACCCAGACUUCUGCCUCAUUGAACUGCACAUCAGCAAUUGCCUCACCAAUUUCAAGUUUCUUAAGCACCAUCAAAAAUCCAUCAAAGGUCCAAGGACCAUUUUGAAGAAUUCUCUCCACGUUCCAUUCAUGAUAGAACUGGAAAUGGAAUCUGUUUUCUCCAGCUUGGGUGAUAGUAACUCGUUGACCAGGACACCAGAUAGAAUGAAGCCUCUCCUCCAUAAAUUGGAAGCGGACUGGUCUGUCAAUUAACACAGUUCCCACGAGGCAUAAUUCAAGCAUAUAUAGCCUCAUGAGACAAUUCAGAGUACCCGGUAGAGGAUCCAUUAGGAGAGUUGUUGAGAUAGAAAUAAUGAAUAAAUUUUGGGUGCUGCUAACCAGUGCCCUCGGGGCACUGGAUAAGGAACAUUAAAUAGACAAUAAAUGAAUAGAUCUUACUUGAUUUACCUCAAUUAAAAUAGGAAAUAAAUCAACUAAUUAAAAUAAGAAAUAGUUAUAUUUAAUAGUGCAAAUUUCUUUUUCUUUAAGGACCUAGACAGCAACAACACGCGUGCUUCUUGUGAUUCCAGUUUCAGGAAUGUCUCACUCCCAUUGUAUUCAUGCCUUCAUUUCUUAAUAAAAAAAUUUCCUGCUAUUUUACUCAAGGAAAUUUGUUUUACGUAAAUUUUUUUUAAUCAUUUUUUGAAAGCCUAUGCAUAUAAUUAAUAACAUAUCCAAAUAAAUUCAAAAUAAAUUAACAAUUCCAAAGAUAAAACAUAUCAAAUUAAAAUAUUCAAAGAUAAAACAUAUCCAAUUAAAAUAUCAAAUACAAAAUUUUCAAAUGUGUAAUUAAAUCCCCCAAAAUUCAAAGAGCUUGCAACUACAUGUAGCUACCUUACCAUCCCAAAACACUACAUGUUUCCUACUAUUAACAUCUUUAUAAAACCGCACCACAAGCACAUUCCCAUUUUCAUGAUCAAUUGAACAUUGUGAGGACCUCGCAAACUCCUCUUGAAACUUUUGAAAAGAAAAACGAGUAAGAACACUAUGAGCUUGCUCUUGUAAAGGUGACAUCAACUUCAUAUUUGAUCCUUUGCACUUCUCUAACAUUAUAUCAUGGUCUUCAUUUUGCUUAAUAUCAUCAAUUGCUACAUCAACCUAAAGUUAAUAUAAAUGAAUUAAUAUGGAUGUUUGGGAAUAAACACUAAUGCAUCAUACCUUCCAAACUAACGAGUUUUAAUAUAAUGAUCAAUACAACUUACAUGCUUUGCAAAGUCAGUUAAACUUGUGUGAGAAUUGAUGAAUCUUUUAAUGAAAGCAUUAAUACUCUCCGAUCUUCCUGUGGUUGUCAUUCCACCAAAGAAAUGAUCACGAAGAUAAGCGAGUGCCCAAUAAUUUAUGAUUUCAUACAAUCCUUUCACAUGUUUAUUUGACUACAAGUUAAACUUAGCAACAAAUUCUGGCCAUUGAUGCUCAAAUUCUUCACAUGUCUCUAACUUAUACAACUCAUAAAAUUCAGAACACCAUUUAGCAUAUUUGUCUCGAAGUAGAGCAUUAAACCAAGAACUAAACUUGAAAGUUAUGUGCCAUAUGCAGAAACUAUGUUUUGUCGAUGGAAAAUCUUUUGAGAUUGCUUCUUUCAUCCAUGGAUCUUGAUCGGUUAGUAUAGUCAUUGGUGGCUUCUUCAUCAAAGAUAUAAAAGUCUAUAGAGAAUUUAAAAGCAUUUAGAUUUUCUAUGUUAAUUAAAGACGAGAAGCAUAUGCAUACCAGAAAGGAACAUAUAAUCAAAUAUUUUUUUAAUCAAAAAGAUAUUUGAGAAAUAGUUACCUUCAUUAGCCAACAAAAUGCAGACACAUGUUCGUUCCGUAAGAGUGCACAUCCAAAAAGUAUAGUCUUUCCAUGAUUAUUCAUACCCACAAAAAUCCCAAAUGGCAUUUCAUAAGAAUUGACCUUAUAUGUAGUAUCAAAUACAAAAACAUCACCGUAUUUUUGGUACCAAUCAAAACAAGAAGCCGAGGAUCAAAAAAUAUGCUCUAACCUUCUUUCUUCAUCAAGUGUAUAACCAUAUUGAAAUUUAGAGGAAGUUUUUUUUGUACCCUCACAAUACUUCAAAAGAUCCAUGACAUCACUUCCUUAAGUUUUUUUAUUAGCUUUCACAUAAAGAUUGAGAAUGUCCUUUUUAGUAUAUGGAAGAUAAUCAUGCUUCACAUUUUUCUCUAGUUCUAUAACCGGCAUUAUUUGUCUAACCGAAAGCCCACCUUCUUUUAAUAAGAAAAUGCGUUCACGGUCAUCUUCUAAGAUAAUUCGAUAAGCUGGUAAAAAAACACACCUCUGUUUUGGGUUAGCAAACCAUGGUUAUGUUCGACAAUAAACGAUGUGACUCGCCACUCAGUUGGAAACAUAUCAUGAGAUUUUUGUAAUUUGAUUCGUAAAUGAGCUUUGCAUUUACACUUUGACAAUUGUCUAUUUCUCUGCUCUUUUGAUGGUUCCAUUAUUGUCAAGGAUGCUUUACCUUCACGAUGACAAAAAAUAUCACGUCUGCAAAUAACCCCAUUCUUUUUUACGAAUCUACCUUUUUUAAUUGAGAACCCUUGUUGAUAAGCAUAUCUCUUAUAAAAGACAUAAGCUUCUUCUUCACUAAGAAAAAUUUGACAAACAAAUGGAACACAAUUUGUCUCAGUUCCGUCUUUAUCGACUUCUUCAUUUGUUGCAUUAUUCAGACUUAAAACAGAGUUUUCUUUCUCAACAUUCUCCACUAAAUCAUGAUCAAGUUGCUCACUAAUUAUUUCUAAACAACCAUUAUCUAUAAAAAUAUCUUCUAUUGGAUAUUCAUUCAAAUCAAAACUUAUUUUAUUGUUGGUCUUUGUAGCACUAAUAUUAUCAUUAUGUUAUUUAUCAUCUACAAAUAAAAACAAAAACAUAUAAACCAAUUACAUAAAGACAAGAUGUAAACACUAUAACAUAUAACAUAUUAAAACAAGAAGGUAACAAAAAAAAAAAAAAAACCUUAAAUAGUACCUAAAGUUUGAAACGUAAAGACAAGAAGUUUUUUAUAUUAUAUAUACAAAUGCAUACCGUAGGAUUUCAUAUAUAUAUAUAUAUAUAUAUAUGAGCAUAAAAAAUAAUAAUAAUAAUAAAGAGAGUUGGUACCUGCAUGGUGUCGUAGGAUUUCAUAUAAAAAGUGUAAAUUGGGAAUUUGUUGAAAAGUGGUGGCAGAGAAUUUACUUAAGAAAUUCAGAAGAAAAAGAGAAUUGUUGUUCAUACAUUUGAUAAGGAUGAGAAAUACGAGUAAAAUACGUUUUUUUCCCCUCGCCAGUUAACUGCCGAGGAAUUAAAUAUCCAGCUGCAGUUAACUGCCGCCGAUUUCAUUUUUCCUCUGUAGGUAACUGUUGAGGCUUCCUGAAGCCAUAAAAUGGAAAAACCUCAUGAGGCAGAACCUGUUACAUGUGUUUUUACACAUUGUAAACACAUUGUUUCAAUGCCAAAUCAUAAAGUCAAUCAAAGAAAAUUACCAACAUAAUUGAAAUUGAAAAUAUGAUAUGGAAACGAACAAUUGUCAUAAAAAUAUGUCAUCGAAAUACCAACAAAGUAACAAAUGUCAUGAAAGUACAACAGAACGAACAAAAUGUCUUGAAAAUAUACACCAAGUCCUAAAAAUCUAUCCUCAACAUAAAAUACUACUGGUGCCACCUCCUCGGCCUCUGGCCUCGCCUCCUGGUCAAGAUUGACGCGAUCUGCUCCAUAACAUGGGUCAUGGCCUGAAACCACUGUUGAGGGCUCAUGACCUCCUCCUGGCCUAACUGCGCAUCAGCGUAGGCUACAACGGCACUAACCAUGUCAUAGGUGUCUGGCGAGCUUCUCGCCUCAUACCGCUCCCACUGCUGUGCAAUGAUCUCCUAGAAGAGAUGGCAAAAUCUGAGGGUGAGACACCCUAGUGUACCAUAACACAUAGCCAUCCGCCAUCCGCCAUCCGCCAUGGAUGCUCUCCUGCAUGCUCACCCCAAUCGGGCAAGUGACGGUAGACCCUACGAACACCGCAUAUAAUCCAGCCGGAAUACCAAAAAACCUCCUCAAAAUCCUGGAUCUCCCUGUGCUCUUCGUACGGCCUCCAUCAUACGUCAUCAAACUAAAUACGAUCAAGCAGUGACCGAUACAUGACCCCCUCUCCAUGACCCUUCUGAAGCUUCCUCCUCGCAGCAACUAGAUAGUUUUCCAUGUAGUCGAUGUUGGGAUCAACAUUGUAAAAGUCAGGAUAAUGCGCCAAAAGCCAUGCCUGCACAAACCAAACAAAUCACAUUUAUAAAUUGUUACGCACGAAAAAUAUAACAAAAAAAAUAAAAGUUAACGUUCACAUUUAUAAGUUUCUAACAGUGAGCAGUGUCACGCUUCCCCCAAGAGCUCUGUCUCCAGGCCUACACGCCUCAGCUAACUCGCCGUAUAGGUAUGCCUGUGUCAUCCCUCCCAGGUAAUAAUUAUGCAUCCCCACGUAGCCCUCCUCCAUGGUCGUCGGAUAAACCAACUCGAUGCGUUUGUUGCUUCUAUCACCAAACAACAAGCAUCCUACAAGAUAGAGAAGAUAACACUUCACACAAAAUGUCUUAACCCUCUACAGCUCCUCCAUCUCCUAUGGAUCCUCCGUAUCCGCCAAUACGUUAGCCCUACCAAGGUACCUUGUAUAUAACUCCCUCAACUUCGGGUAACUAAUGUACCCACCGUAUUCCGUACCACAAAUUUUCUUUGCCUUCUGCUGCGACACACCCAAGUGCCUCAUCAGUAGUGCCGCUACUUCAUGUCUCAUCAUCUUCUUCCCAUGGCUCAACAUCCGCCCCUCAAUCUGAAGAUGCAUAAGACAUGCGACAUCAUCCAAAGUCACAGUCAUCUCCCCCAAGGGCAUGUGAAAAGUGUUGGUCUCAGGAUGCCACCUCUCGCAUAGAGUCAUCAUUAGGGCAUGAGGCACAGUGGCGUAGCCCUGGUAAACCAAAUCAUGUAAUCCGCUGUCCCUAAACGGAUCCCAAAACCAAUCCUGAUUCCUGUUUGGGCGUCCGAGACUCAAGAUCUUAGCCCCAUGAUUAAUCGGUUUUACAACACGCAACUUACGAACCUGAAAUAAUAGAAAAAUAAACAUAGUUUAGACAAUUUAUACAUUAAACAAUGUAAACAUUUAACUAAAUAAAAUAAAACUUAACAAAUGCAAAAAUAAAAGAUAACAAAAUAAAUUUAAAUCAUAAUUAAAAAUAAAGAAAACAAUAAAAGUUGAAAUAAAGAAAAUAUAAAGAAAAUAAUUAAACAUAAAGAAAACAAUUAAAAAAAACACAUAUAAAAGUUGAUAUAAUAAUUAAAUAAACACACAUAUAAAGAAAAUAAUUAAACAUAAAGAAAAAACAUUUAAAAAAAUUACACUUACGUUCUCUGAAUUAUACCAAGGUGGCAAUGGCACAUGAUUGGCAUAAGAGUGCAGCAAAGAUAGGUCUUCCGAUCCUCCAAGAAAGGGAGGGUUCACAGGUAACACCUCCGGGGCAGUAGCUGCUGCAAUGUCAUCAUCGUCUGCUAUAUGCUGCUGCUCUGGUAUAUGAUCCUGAUCAUACCCACCAUCCGUAACAUCGUGGUGUACCUGAUCCUGAUAAUUCAGGUACUCCACCUGCGACUCUUCAGGCUGUGUAGCCUGAGAAGCCUCCUGCGAACUCCCUGAACCAUCCACCAUCCGACCUCUUCCCCUCUUUGGGAUGUGCCCGCUUUGCCUCUCCUUUCGAUGGCUUUGAGUCAUCGCACGCCUACCACCAAUCAUCUUAGAUGGAUCAACCGGGUUCUGAUCAGACAUAUCUACACAAAAAAUUAAAAAUUUAACAUCAUUUCCAUAACCUAAUCAAACACAUUAAACCUAAACUAAACAUAAACAUAAUCAAACACAUUAAAAGUACAACAAUGAACAUCAUUUCCAUAACUUAAAAUCAUUCAAUAUAAUCAUCAUUACAAUAAAAUUUAUGUCCAUCAUUUCCAUAAUAACCUAAACAUCAUUCAAUAAUUAACAUACACUUAAUCAUUUGUGUCCAUCAUAAUUCUCGUAACCUAAACUAACUAAAAAAUCAAUAUACACUUAACCAAACUAUAUUAACAUCAUUUCUAUCAUUUCCAUAACUUAAACUGACUAAAUAAUCAAUAUAAUUUUCAUUGAGGCAUUUGAUCAAACACUUUGUGUGCAAAGUAUAAAACAUAUUCAAAUUGUGUUCAUUUGUCACCCAUUCAAAGUCACAUUAUGAUUUAAACAACAUAGGCAACAACUACAUUCAUUUAUCAAUUCAUAAACUACACAUGCAAUCAUCAAAUUGUCAAUUUAAAAAUCAACCCUAACCACAUGCAAACUACUCUAAUUUUUUUUUUUUUUAAAAUAAACCUAAACAAACUAACAUUAUCAUUAAAAUGAUUGAUACAACUUACUUGUGAUAACGUGCAGUUGAUUUGCUUGCAAUUCGUGAAAAUGACUUUGGUGAAGAUUGGAAAGAAUUUGAGAAGUUUGGAGAAUUCUUGAAACUGAAAUGUUUAUGUUUCUGCUUCUGGUUAUGUUCAGCACGCCUUCGCAGUUAACUAUCGAGGUUUUCCUCGGCAGUUAACUGUAGCCGGAUUUUUAAUUCCUCAGCAGUUAACUGCCGAGGGGGCAAAAACGUAUUUUACUCGUGUUUCUCAGCCUUAUCAAAUGCGUGAACAACAAUUCUCGAAGAAAAAAGGAGAAGGAAGGUUAAAAGGGCAACAGUAACAUAUGUGAGGCACGUGUAUAUUAAUGUGGUCUUUUAAAUAGUAUUCAAUACAUCCUUUCUUAUUUUAAUUAAGUUGACCAACUUUUAAUUUUAAUUGAAGUAAAUUAAGUGGGGCCCAUUUUGUUCCUUAACCAUUGGAUAGCAUUACCCAUAAAUUUUACAUAAAAUUUAAGCAAAAUUGAUCAACAUGUACAAUUUACUUACUUCAGGAAUAAUAUCUGAUUUAUAUGAUUUUUGAAUUUUUAAUUGGAUGCAUCCUAUGAAGUGCGGUUGCUGGAAAUCACUAAGGUUUGUUAGGGUUUGUGCAAAUGUUUUUGCUUGAUUCUAGAAUGGUUUUACUAAUUUUGUGGUAGAAUCAGUUGUUUUGGUGUUGUAUAUGAGGCAUUUAUAAGGGAUAUUGGUGUUAUUACUGGUAGUUUUUGAAGGAUCGGUGGUUUUUUGUAGGUUAUUAGGGUUUUGGGUAUUUUUUGAGGUUUCUGUUUUAUUUUUCUCCAAAUCCUUUAGAUAAUAGUUAUCUAUAAGACAGACAUGAGGAUUAAUGUUGUUUCCAUCUUGAUCUAGGCGAAAAAACACAAGUCGAUGGGGAUUAUGUGGGUUACCUAAUGAAUAAGAAAGACAAAAGUUGGUGGUGAUUGGUGAAUGAACAUUAAUCUUAUCGCACAAGACAUCGCUCAAGCUAAGAGGCAUGUUGAAGUGGGAGUGGUUAUGGUGCAUAAGGAAAUCCCAUUUGAAAUAUAAUUGUUUCCCUACACCUCCAAGGGAAACCAAACGAAACAACACUACAACUGUGAAAAUCAUCAUUUUAGUUCAAUAAUGAUUUCAGGGUAUUGAUUUGGUUCAAUGACAGUCACAAAUGUCCUUAUUAUAGUAUGUUUUGUAUAAAAUUAUGCCAAAACCAUUUUGCUGUGGUUUCUGUGAGUUGUACUCCAAAACCAUCAAAUGUACUUAAUGGUUUCCAGCAGCAGGUGAAAAAAAACUAAGGACCUAGAGCCAUCGCCAUCAUUCAAUUUUGGACUGACACAAUUGGAGGAGGAGGAAAGAAAUGGUUUCUGUGAGUUGUACUCCAAAACCAUUUUGUUGUGGAAACGGUUUCUGUGUGUUGUACUCAAAAACCAUUUGGCUGUGGGAAUGGUUUCCAGAAAUUUUUGCGAAUUCUUCUCUUCUUUGUCCUUUUUUUUUCGAAUCUUUGAAGCUAGAAUCAUUCAUGGACAAAUUUGUGUUGUGCAGAUCAUUCAUGGACAAAUUUUAUUUGUGCAGAUCACUUACUUUGUCCAGAGCAGAUUAAGGUAUUGUGUUAUAUGAUGCCUUUUUACUUUCAGUUUGUUUCAUUUACAAACAUGUUUUUGAAAUUAGAGAUUGCUUUAGGAACCCGUUGAUUAUAUAUAUUUAGUGCAUAAUCAAUGUCAUUCUAUUGGUUAAAUUUUCAUGCGCUUUUUAAGUAAAAAAUCUGAAGAAACACAAAUUUUUGAUAAACACUUUUGCUGUUUUUUCCUUCAUGUUUUAGUUUCAGUAUCCUGGUUCCCCUCUAGAGUACAAGAUCGAAUCAAAAGAAGAAGAAAAAUCACCAAUGUCCUAUUUUCUAUUUGGAUGCGCUUCCGCUCAGGCACGGAUGCACACUAAGCUCAUUGGUGUCAGCUGACCCCACUUCAUCGUUUUUUUUUAUAACACAAAAUGUGAUAUUUUUAUUUAAUGACCCCACUUGAAAAUUUAAUUUGACCCCACAUAACACUUAAUAAGAGAAUUUUGGGUCAACAAAAGUUGAUGUAUCUAGUUAAAAAUUCAGUCCAAAUACAUUCAUUUUUGUUGACCUAAAUUUCUCUUAUAAAUAGGACCGGAGGUAGUACAAUUGUUUUGAAGGAUACCCCACCUACUAAUACAUAAAACACAGACGAAAUAGCAUGUUCAGGAAAGGAUGAAUUGAAAUAUUGCAUACAUGUAAAUUAAGAAUAUAAUAUUUGUUAAAAACAAAAAUUGGGGUAGGUAUUUUAGUUUUUAAAAUAAAAAGAAAAUGCUCCAAUAAAAAAAAAUGAAAGUGGCAAGUAAAAGAUUAAAGUACAAUGUCAAUACAUGAGGAAAUAAAAUCAUACAAAGGAGAGAGUAAUUAUCAUCCUUUGAUAUUAGGGUGUUUAAUUUUUCGAUUUAAAAUGGUAUUUUUUUGUUAUCUUUAAUUUUUUAUUUAAUGAUAAUGAUGUUAUCACUUAAGGUUAAAUAUGUUUUCAGUUUCUAUAAAAUUAUGAGUUUUUUUAAGUCUAGUCUCUCCACAAAAUUUAUUAAGUUUGAGUCUCUAUUUGCAUAUUAUAGGGACUAUUUUGACAACUAAAAAUCUAAGUUUUUGUAAAAAGUUUUUAAAAUAUGAGUUAUACUACAAAUUGCAAUAUUAUGAAGGACUGAAAUUAUCAUUAAAAUUUCACCGCCUUGGACUAGGACACCAUAUUCCCUUGCCCUAAAUUUUUUCUACCAAGAAAUUAUCAUUAAAAAUUAAAUAGAAUUAGAUUUGAAAGCUCAUGAUUUUAUAGGAACUAAAAACAUAUUUAACCUAUCAUUUUAUUGAUUUUGAAUUUAAAUAUUUUAAUAUAAAUAUUAUGAUAAACGAUAUUGACCCCACAUAUUAGAAUUUUUGGAUCCGUCACUACUUCCGCUACCGUCCUUCUCCGUUAUCAAGAUCUCCUCCAUUCCUAAUAGAUAUGAUAACGUUACCCUUAGAAUGGGAAUAUGAAGAAAUUGAUGACCAAGUGUAACAUACCAAUUUCUGUUAUGUAAUACAAUAAGUAGAUUGGAUUAGUUAUUUCUUUCUUCUACUGCUGCAUGAGCCAUUUAUGUGAAUAAUUUCAAGCUAUUUAACAAAUGAAAUAUAUAGUGGUUUUUUGCUAUCCCGCAGUCAUGUGUCUACAACAAAAUAUUGGUUUAGUGCAUGAAGCAUUGUAUAAUAAACAUGAUUGUGAUGACCAAGUGAAGGUUAAAUGAGAAACAAAUUAAAAUUUCCUUACCAAGAAGUUUAGGGGAAAUCCUUUUUUGCAUGUUUGUUACUUUUUACUUUGGCAUCUCUUGUAGGGGAUAUUCAUGUUCAGCAUUUAGAUCCUCAAAAACCAUUAUAGCAUGACAACGAAUAUCUUCAGCCUGAGAUGUUCAUUGAGAUUUUUUAUAAUGCUUUACCUAAAGUUAUUAAAGAGAAAUUGAUAUAACAAUAAAUAUAAGAAUUUACUGAUGAAAUUUAAAUGAUUCAAUCGAAUUUUCUUUUAUUUUUAAUUUUUAUUCGAUUUACACAAAAAUUGUUUCACAAGUCCCACCUUUAGUUUUAAUUUGGCUUAAACACACUUUUGGCCCCCUAUAUUUGCCAUCGUAGCAAUUUUGGCUCUCUAACAAAAACAAUGCAAUUUUGACCCUCUAAUUUUCCCAACCAUUCUGAGAAGCCGCCACGUAUCCCAAACAAGGGGGCCAUAAUUGCAACUAUUUUGUAAAGAUAAAGGGGCAAAAGAGCAUAUUUUCCUAAACAUGGCAAAAUUAAGGGGUCAAAAUUGCAUUGUUUUUGUUAGGGGCCAUAAUUACUACGAUGGCAAACAUAGGAGGCCAAAAAUACAUUUAAGCCUUUUAAUUUUGUGUGAGUUUUCAAUGCUUAUUCUUAUUUUGUCUAUCUAUCAAAAAUGACUAUUGGUAUUCUGCUUUUUUACGGUGAACGAAGCAAACUCAAUUCAUUUACUAUCAUUCAUGGACCAAAUACAUGAUAGUGCAUCAGUGUAAGGGUGGGAGCUAGCAAUACAUGGGGCUACCAUUGCAAGUUCAUAAGCUACCCCAUUAGGUUGCCUCAAGGUUUUGCGUUUGAGAGAACACGCCGGCUCAAAGUGCACCAUGCCACACAAGAGAGCACCCCCACGUGAGGAUCACACGUCUCCUCCAACCAUCCCUAAUCACACGCGAAAAACCCGGAAACGGUUAAGCUCAGCGCGCACUUAUAUAAAGGUGAACUUGCUUCACCCUCAUGGCAUUAUUCACUUUUCACAACACUAUACACACACUUUCUCAGUUCCAUUACUGACUUGAGAGUUUGAGUGAUAACAUGUCUGCAGGCACCUUUCGUUCCAUCACAAGGAUUCAUCACCAACAUACCGGAAACCGUCACCGUCUCACCAGAGCACUUUCCGCCACCGUUGCCACUCAUUCAUCCUCACCGAACAGAUCGUUAAGAAUGUUCUUAAAACCAUCGACCCUUUCUAGAUAUAACGUCUGUUAGGAAUUAAGAAUGGUUUUAAGACCAUAGUCCUUUUUGAAGAAAAACAACGUCCCUUCAAAAUAAAGUAUGAUCUUAAGAGUAUAUGUAUAUAUCCUUUGGAUAUUUUCUUUAAGGCUUUGGAGAACUUAGAGGCUAGAAUGUUGGUAACACCAAAUUUGAAUGGUGAGAGUACUAUAUCGAUAUUUUUGGAGAAGUUAAAGAUUAAAAUGGUGGUAACACAUAUUUGAGUGGUCACAAUACCAUAAUAGACUGGUCAUUGUAUUAUAUUUGACUGAUUUUAAGUAUUAAAAUCGUGGUCUUAGACACCAUAAUGUAGGUGUAAUUCUUGAACGGUUUUAAUUUCUACAAUGUAGUAUAGUUAAACACACAGUUGUAGAUGUGCUUGUGUUAUCUUGGAGUCUUGCACAAUUUUAGACAGUGCAAUAAAAUGUCUUAAAGAGAGCAACUUUGUCAUGACUUAGCCUAUUAACAAUUUCGGUGGAUGAAAUUUUUAUUUGUUUGAAAUAGAUUUCGGAAAUAAAAAAAAUACAACAGUUUAAUUUAGAAAUCCAAAAACUAACAAUUUCAUAUGUCAAUCUCGUGUCAGGUCCGAACCGAGUUCCUCAAGGAUGACGAGAUAUACUAUCAACCAUUUGAUAUGUCAACGAAUACAUCAAAAUGCACAACUUUCAGAAAACCCGUCAAUAUUAUUUUUUGUAACAAAAACAAGUUUAAGAGGAGAAGAAGAUGAAAAAAAUCUAACGUUUUUGAAUUAAAACUAACGGAAAGGACCAAAAUGUGUAACAGAGAGAAGUUAUGGGACCAAAAUAAAUCGAAUUUUAAUUAAGGGACCAAAGCGAUACUACCUAAAUAGUUAAGGGACCAAAAAUGCAAUUUAGCCUAAAAUUUAUCUAGAAAUGUCAUUUUCAAGCAACUCAUUGCGAACAAAACUCUUUUUAUAGUUAUUGACGAGACUAGAAAUGUUAAAAUAAGAUGAAAUAAAUUUAUCAAUUAUGUGAUAUUCUUUCAAGUUUCUCCCGAUUUUUUGACAGAUAAAUACAUUUAUACACACACCGAAAAAAGAAUGAUGUAGGGUGCAUCAUUCAGCAUUCAUUCAAAAAAGUAAAAGUACUGAAAAGAAAAAUGGAACUAGGCCAAGACCUUCUCAGAAAUUUACAAACCUAUAGUUAGGUAAUUCCAUCAUAUUCCUAAUGUACUCCCCCCUAAUGCUAUUGAGGGUAUAAUGAAACCAAACCAAAGUGUUAAAAGGAGAUGUGAGUCUUAUAUUAACCAAACCAUCAGCACAAGCAUUUCCUACCAUAUAAACAUGAGAAACUGUGAAGAGUAUGUUUCUGACAAAGGCCAAACCAUUUUGCCAUCUGAUUCUUAAAAUCAAAGGCAUCUUAGCAGAUGACUUGCGAGCCAUAUAUCAACAUGGAGGCAUUGACAUUUCCAAGAUUUUGAGUAAAGCAUCCUAUACAUUGACAUUCUCUAUCUCUGAAAAUGCCACCUGCAAAAGCAUUAAAGGGGUUUUUAGUGGCAACUCCAUUAGUGUUUGCUUUUAUCCAAUUGAAGAUUGGAUGGGUCCAGAUAACUUCUUUAAUACUUGGAGCCUUAGGAGGGUGCAAGUCAAUUUUGAAGUUUUUCAUGAUUACAAUUUCUCUGAUGUGUGGAGAUGAAGUUUAAUUUUAUUGAUAUUGUUUCUAGACAUACAAAUAGAAAAGAUGAUGUUGUUGAUAAUAAGCUUCUAAUGAAUAAACUUAUUCUGGAAUCUCACCAAGUUCCUUCUAUACCAUAUAGUAUUUAGGAUAUUAACAAUACAUAACUUAAUCACUACUUUGCAUUGAGGUGACCAGCUUUUAUCACAUAAAUCCCAAACAUUAGAGAACAUAAGAGAAGUGCUUAAAAUACCUGCAAACCAGCACCACAACUGGAAAGAGAAGUUAAAUUCAAAGAAUAGGUGCAAAGAGGUUUCUGCUUCUUCAUUGUAAUUUGAACACAUUGAGGGAAAAUCACAACCAUUAGACUCCAACAAAGAAGAGAUUUGGAUGGAGGUAAGUCUUUGCUCUAAACAGUUUUAGCCCAUUGAAUAUUUUGACCAUUUUGAGAUUUGAACAUAAAAGCAUCCUUAAAUGUUAGCUCUCCUGUAAGAGAGUUUUUCCAUAUCAACUUGUCAUAUUUAUCUUCAAUAAGAAGGGUUACUUGUUGAACAAGAAAUCUCAUAUUAGGGAAAGCUACUUGAACUACUUGAGGGAUGUUCCAUAUUGACCUUCAUGAAUAAAAUUAGCAACUGUUUGGAGUGAGGUUUUGAGAGACAUGUUGUGGAAAAUUAAGAGUGAUUGAUCGAGGAUAUGCACACCAUGCAUCAUUCCAAAAUCCGACCUUUUCACCAGUUCCAAUCAUCCAAACUGAGUGAUUAAUCUUUAUGCUGUUCCAAAUUGAAGAGUGAAUAUAAUAAUUAUUGUCCUUUUAUUUCGUAUAACUCAGCUUUGAAUGAGUAGAGACAAAGCUUUAUUGAAGUUUCUGAUAUCCCGGCACAGUUUGAGAUUUGAAGACUCAUUUUGGAAAGUUAAUGAUCUGAUGCCUAAUCCACCUUGAGAAAUUGGCUUGAAAUUUUUCCUCCAAGAUACAGUCGCUAAUUUUCUCAUUUCGACGUAACCACUCCAUAUAAAAUUCCAAUCCAUUUCUCUAAAUCUUUGAGAAGAGAUUUUUCCCAGGAGUCAAUGGAUAUGCUAUGAAUUAACAUGCCUUGAAUGACUGACUUGACUAGUUUAACCUUUCCUACAAUGGAUAAUAGUGAUGCUUUCCAAGCUACAAGCUUACCUUUAAUCUUGUUAGCUUUUGGAAGUAAGUAUGCAGCUUUAGGUUUUCCUUAAAGAUAGGGAGUCCUAGACAUGUAAAAGGGAGGCUGCCAGUGUUGAAACCUAUGAGAUUUGCAAUUUCAUAUAGCCUACAAUUGGAUAUUUACCCAACAAAAAUGGUUGAUUUUGCAGGAUUAACUAGUUGGCCUGAUGCUGAGGUUUUAAAGCUUUGCUAACUGAAAGAAAGCAUUUUUGAUCUCUAACUGAAAUAACAACCAAAGUUUCAAUGAAGCCAUUGCUAUAAUGAGACGAACAGAUGUCGUCUUCGCAACUUAUGAGUAGGUAUCAUUAUAUUCUUCAUAUCAAAAAUUCAUCAAUGAUUGAAUUCUAUCAAACUUCCCAACAAUUCUUCUCUCAAUGUAACUAGUCAAAGAAUCAGAAGAAGAAAAAAACCAGCUUCUAUCUUAUUUCUCAACAUAUUUUUUAUAACCUAUUUUGACUUAUGCUCUUACUCUUUAUUUUUUUGCAUAAACUUGCGACCUAAUUUAACUAAAGUUUGUCGUAGCAAGCAUGGUUGUCUGGUGGUUUCUUUGAUGCAACUGAUCAAUUGGAUUUGGAGUUUGACAUCUAUAUCUAUAACCAUAUCUAUAUCUUUAUAUCUACAAUAAACAAAUAUGUUGCAGAAAAAUACACAUGACACUUUAGCGUUGUGUUACAUUCAUAAAUUUGCGUCUGUCAAAGAGUGGCUUGAUUUGGAAAAUUUGGAAAAUAUGUAUCAUAAAUGUGCGGCUUAAGGUUACCUAUCUUAUUUUGUUUUGGGAAUGUAAAUAGAAUUCAAGCACUUGCAUUUUUAAUGUUGUAUUUGUGCAUGCUGCAAUUAAUAUUCUUACAAUUAAUCUCCUUGAUGAGGUAACUCUAAUCAUAGAAUUUACUUAGACGUUUGGAAUACGGUUAUGCUGGGAAAACUAGUUUGAGACAGACAAACUGAAGUGAAGGACAUUUAAGAUUUUUAUGUUUGGUAUUCGAACGUACCGGAACACGGCUAACUCUGAUAUGCUCAUGGUAGAAACCACUUAUUGGAACGAUAAAUUGAAACAUAGAUUAAUCAGUGGUAGACAGCAUGAUCAUUAUUGAAGCAUAUUGGCUUGUGUUUUUAUUUAAUCAUUUUUAACAAACUUUCAUACACUAUACUGAGAAAUAUUGUCUGAGAUACAGAGAAAAUUUGUUAAAAAUAUUGUUUCUGAGAUUGAUUCGUGCCGACCAAAUAUCUUGCUAACCAAAAUUUCCUCAACAUUGGUCUUAAUAAUAAAGUCGCAGAUUGUUAUGUUAGGAAAGGUAGCUUCAAAUGAUAGCAUAUGGGAAAAGCUUUUUGGUACGGGAAUUGCAGCAACGAAAAACAACGGACGUUAUAUAAGCCGUAGGAUAUAUUUUAGAUUGUAAAACAUUUCAACUUUUAUUUGUUUUAAAAAUAUAACAACACCGUCCGCAUGCAUCGUGUCACUCCCAUUUUUAGAAAUUUUUUUUAAGAAAUUUUGGUUUUUGAAUGGCCUAUUAAGGAUGUUUUUCGGAAAAUAAAAAUUUUACGAGAGUGUAAAUCAAACCGAAAAUUUUAUAGGGGCAAAAACCGGAAAUAACAUAUAUUACAGGGGUGAAAAACACUAUUAACCCUUAAUUUAAUUAUUAUUAUAAAUUGUUUUCUUAGUCCCUAAGUUUUGCCUAAAAUAUUUUGGAACGCAAUCUGAAAUAUUUUGGUGCACAAUCUGAAAUAUUUUUGUAUGCAAUAUAAUAUAUUUUGGUACGUGGUCUGAAAUAUAUUUUAAUACUCAAUAGUAUAUUUUUGCACUCAAUAAAAUAUUUUUGUACUCAAUAUGAUAUAUUUUGGUACUCAAUUUGAGAUAUUUUUUUGUUAUAUCUAAUAUUUGAUUACUUGUUCCCAAAGGUUCUCACAUAUUAAUUGUGAAUUUUCUCUAUAAAUAGAUAGCCCACAAAUUGCAUUCUACACACAAAAAAAAAUAUUAUGAAACUUCGAAUCUUUUCUUCUCUCUCUCCCCCCUUUGAUUGGCGUUGACGAGUCGUUCUUCUCUUUAUCUUUUUUUUUUGUCCCUUCAAAAUUGAGAGUGUUCUUAUGAUCAUAGUCUCCUUUGAUAUGACUCAAACUUCGGUAGAUGAAUUUUCUUUUUCAUAAUAGACUUUGAAUAUUCAAAAUACAACAGUUUCAAAAUCCAAAACCAACAAUUUUAAGACAGAGCAAUUGCAAAAACAACAGUUUCAGAUCACCACCUCCACUUGCUUAUCGUUGUUGUUGAGAGAGUGUUGCCAACAAUGCUCCAGGUAUUCCUAAUAACUACCUUCAAUUCCUUAAUAUUCAUAUAAAUCGAACUUGUUUUUUUUUUGUUGUAGAUCCUACUUUAUAUACAUGCUCUUAUGUUUUCUACACUAUUGUUGUAGAUCAUACUUUAUAUACACAUGCUCAUAUGUUUUCACACUAAAUUAUGAUUAUAGUUAUAAUCUUUAUAGAGCAUGUUUGUCUUGAUGAAUUAUUAAAUUAAUUCCAGCACGCCCUUCAUUUGAAAUAAAUCACACUCCGCUAAUUUUUGAGUGAGAAUGUAUGUGCGCUUAAAUGAUUUAUAUUUAGACUUAUGAUGAUCAUAUAAAUAUUUUUUUCCGUAGAAGUUACUUUAGGAAAAAGUCAAAAUACAUCAUUAUUAAAGAAAUAAAACAAGUGACAUAAAAAAUAAAACAUGAUUAGUUUUGUAACAAAAAUAAACAUGAUUAGUUUUAAAAUUAACUUAUACGUAUAAUACUAACGCAUAAAAAUACAUUUUUUAUUGAGACAGACAACUCACAGAAUAUGAUACUUGAUGUUUUUAUUAAAGAAAAUAAAAAUUACACGUUAUUUUUCAAAAAACACGUUAUCAUUUUUUUUGUGCUGUUAAAUUACUUACAGCCAAGCAUAUAGUUUCUUACUUAAGUAUCAUUUUUUAUUUUUUUUAUGAUUUUGUAAACAUUCUAUUAAUUACCUCCAUUCCUCGUUCCAUUUUCAUCAACAAAAAGUGCUAUAUACCAAUGUUAAAAGGAAAUAAAAAAAUACAUCAGUCCCUUCUUAAAAAUAUUAUAUACGGUAAGAAGAAAAUUACGAAGUUUGAUUUAAUUAGAUUAUAUUAUCAUUAUUACAUUCCCCAUAAAAAAAGAGACUAACAUCGGUACAGUCCCUUCUUAAAAAUAUUACAUAUGAUAAGAAGAAAAUUACGGAGUUUGAUUUAAUUAGAUUAUAUUAUCAUUAUUACAUUUCCAAUAAAAAAAAAAAAAGACUAACAUUGGUAUCACCCUUAUUUCUUGUCUAUCAAGAUAAGACUAUAAAUAGUAGCAACUGAAAUCACAAACACUUGACUUUGUCUUCUUUCUUUCGCCCUUGAUAGGGAUUAGGGUUUUUCCGACAUCUCAAACAACACAACACUAACACCACUGAAAACCACAAGGGUCCCUCCUGUAACAAUGAAUCUACAUGAAGUCUACACCUUAGGUAAAAAAAUUGGGUGAAGGUCAAUUCGUUAUCACAAACCACUGCACACACAACACAACAGGUCGAACCUACAAGUACAAGUCUAUAUCAUAGAAGAAAUUGUUAUGCAAAGAGGAUUAUGAUGAUGUUUGGACAGAGAUUUAGAUAAUGCACCAUUUAUCUGAACAUCCAAAUGUUGUGAGGAUCUAGCAAACUUAUGAGAUUUUUUUAUUUUUUUUCAUUUGGUUAUGAAGCUUUUUGAAGGUGGGGAAUAAUUUUUUGAAAGGAUUGUGUAGAAGGGUCAUUAUAGUGAUAGACAAGCUCCUACGUUGACUAGGACUAUUGUUGAGUUUCUUGAAGCUUGUCCUUAUCUUGGUGUUAUGCAUAAAGACCUUAAACCUGAGAAUUUUUUGUUUGAAUAUGUUGAUGAAGAUGUUCUCAAAACUAUUGAUUUUGGACAUUUUUAGGCAAAAUAGAAAAAGAAACAAAAAUAUGACUUAUAAAAAAUAGACAAUCCAAAUCAACUGAGAACAACAUCUUUAUCAACACAAUAAAAAAAAAUCUCAUGUUUAAAGUCUCUAUGCAUAACACCAAGAGAAUGACAAGCAUCAACAUCCUCAACAAUAGUCCCAAUCAACUUAACGGUUUGUCUCUCACUAUAAUGACCCUUCUGCACAAUCCUAUCAAACAAUUCCCAACCUUCACAAAGCUCCAUAACCAAACGAAGAAGAAAAAAAAAAACGAAUACUCAUAAGUUUCGUGGAUCCUCACGACAUUUGGAUGUUCAGAUAAAUGGUGCAUUAUUUGAAUCUCUCUCCAAACAUCAUCAUAAUCCUCUUUACUUAAUAGUAUAAUCUAUGAUAUAGAUUUGCACGUAUAGGUUCGACCUGUUUCGUUGCGUUGUGUGAGCAGUGAUAUGUGAUACCAAAUUGACUUCACCCAAUUUUUUACCUAAGGUGUAGACUUCAUGGAGAUUCUUUGUUACAUGAGGAAGAACCCUUGUGGUUUUCGGUGGUGUUGGAGUUAUGUUGUUUGGGAUGUUUGAUUUCGACAUUGUUCACGUUGUACUGUGUUUGGUUCCAAAAAAAUAACAAGUGAGAAGAAACUUUAAACCCUAAAAUCAAGCGCAAAGAAAGAAGACAAAAUCAAGUGUUUCUGACUUCACUUGCUUCUAUUUAGAUGCUUAUUGAUUUUAAUCUUUUUUUUUUAAUGGAAUGUAAUAAUGAUAAUAUAAUAAAAUUAAAUCAAACUCCAUAAUUUUCUUCUUACUAUAUAUAAUUUUUUUUUAAAGGGACUGUUGUAUUUUUUAUUUCCUAUUGACAUUGGUAUAUAGCCCUUUUUGUUGAUGAAAAUGAGAAAGGGAAUGCAGGUAAAUAAUAGAAUGUUUACAAAAUCAUAAAAAAGAAAUUAUACUUUUAGUAAGAAAAUAUAUGUUCCCUAAAAAAAAAGUAAGAAAGUAUAUGCUUGGAUGUAAGUAAUUUGGCAACACAAAAUAACGUGCAAUUUUUUUUUUUGGUUAAAAUAAGAUGUAACUUUUAUUUUUCUAAUAAGAACAUCAUGUAUCAUAUUUUGUAAGUUGUCACAAUCAAAAAUAUUUAAUGCAUAGUAUUUUUGUUUUUUGAAGGGAUGCCAUAGUUUUUAAUAAGUUAGUUUUGAACUAAUCAUGUUUAAUUUUUUAUGUCACUUGUUUUAGUUAGGCUACAACACAAAAUAUAUUUUUUAUUUUAAAUAUGUAGGGCCGACUCAAGGGCUAAGCAACCUAAGCAAGAGCUUUAGGCCUCAAAAUUAUGGGCAAGAAAAAAGGCCUCUAAAAAAUUAAUUUAAUUAUAAAUAUAUUAUAUGAUAGAUAAAUUACAGACAUCUCCAUAACAUAAUUGAUUACUAAAAAGAACUCAAUUACUCUUGAUCAUGAAUUCAAAUUUUGAUCUCUACAAAAUCGAUUUUAUUCUGUUAAAAAAAUAUAUUUUUAAAAGUCACAUUAAAUUUUUUGUUUUAGACCUCUUAAUCUCUGGGGCCUCUGCCUUGUAAAUAUGAGUUAGAAAUCAGCAUCAUAAAGCCUAAAUAAUGAUGUUGAUUGUAAUGCAGUUGAUCAACAUGCACAACUGACUUACUUCACCGAUUAAUAUGAUUUUUUUAAUAGGAUGCAUCCUAUGAAGUGCGGUUGCAGGAAGUUGAUUGUAAUGAAUAAUUAAUUUUUUUCUUUACAAAAGACAAAUAAAAACAGAUUUUUAUUUCUUUUAAUAUUAAAAGAAUAUUAUAAGAAGAACUUCCUCUAAAAAAAAGUUUAUUUAUAAGAAUAAGUGAACCAUUGUAAAAAAAAAAACGGAACCCUUUAAAAAAAAAUAUCACUAAUUAAAAAGGAAACCCGUUCUGUUUUUUUUUUUGACGAAAAUAAAACGAUAUUCAUUCAUUCAAAUCGAUAGAUUACAUCAUAUACAAACAUCGCUAAAUACGUAAAGAGUGAGUCUGCGAACUGAUGGGAUAAAACCGCAAGUGCACGGUCUUACCGAAGUAGUAAAAUAAGAGUAUCGUUCCGACAGGGAGUUAUGAAUUCAAUUAACUUUCAAUAAUGAUUAGAUGAAAGUUUCAAAGGUUAAAAGUUUGAAUUUUUAAUUAUAAGAAAAUAAAAGAAAAGAUAAAAAGCCUUGGAAUCAUUGGUUCAUCCUAAUGACAAGUCCUUCACAAACCAAACUAUUAAACUUAUAACCUUAUGUUAGACCUAAUUUCUCAAGACAGUUUCUCUUAUGUUCCUCUAGCAACCAAGCCUAUUUCGCUGACUUGAUUACUAUUAGAUUUUGGUUCCUCUAACAACCAAGCCUNNNNNNNNNNNNNNNNNNNNNNNNNNNNNNNNNNNNNNNNNNNNNNNNNNNNNNNNNNNNNNNNNNNNNNNNNNNNNNNNNNNNNNNNNNNNNNNNNNNNNNNNNNNNNNNNNNNNNNNNNNNNNNNNNNNNNNNNNNNNNNNNNNNNNNNNNNNNNNNNNNNNNNNNNNNNNNNNNNNNNNNNNNNNNNNNNNNNNNNNNNNNNNNNNNNNNNNNNNNNNNNNNNNNNNNNNNNNNNNNNNNNNNNNNNNNNNNNNNNNNNNNNNNNNNNNNNNNNNNNNNNNNNNNNNNNNNNNNNNNNNNNNNNNNNNNNNNNNNNNNNNNNNNNNNNNNNNNNNNNNNNNNNNNNNNNNNNNNNNNNNNNNNNNNNNNNNNNNNNNNNNNNNNNNNNNNNNNNNNNNNNNNNNNNNNNNNNNNNNNNNNNNNNNNNNNNNNNNNNNNNNNNNNNNNNNNNNNNNNNNNNNNNNNNNNNNNNNNNNNNNNNNNNNNNNNNNNNNNNNNNNNNNNNNNNNNNNNNNNNNNNNNNNNNNNNNNNNNNNNNNNNNNNNNNNNNNNNNNNNNNNNNNNNNNNNNNNNNNNNNNNNNNNNNNNNNNNNNNNNNNNNNNNNNNNNNNNNNNNNNNNNNNNNNNNNNNNNNNNNNNNNNNNNNNNNNNNNNNNNNNNNNNNNNNNNNNNNNNNNNNNNNNNNNNNNNNNNNNNNNNNNNNNNNNNNNNNNNNNNNNNNNNNNNNNNNNNNNNNNNNNNNNNNNNNNNNNNNNNNNNNNNNNNNNNNNNNNNNNNNNNNNNNNNNNNNNNNNNNNNNNNNNNNNNNNNNNNNNNNNNNNNNNNNNNNNNNNNNNNNNNNNNNNNNNNNNNNNNNNNNNNNNNNNNNNNNNNNNNNNNNNNNNNNNNNNNNNNNNNNNNNNNNNNNNNNNNNNNNNNNNNNNNNNNNNNNNNNNNNNNNNNNNNNNNNNNNNNNNNNNNNNNNNNNNNNNNNNNNNNNNNNNNNNNNNNNNNNNNNNNNNNNNNNNNNNNNNNNNNNNNNNNNNNNNNNNNNNNNNNNNNNNNNNNNNNNNNNNNNNNNNNNNNNNNNNNNNNNNNNNNNNNNNNNNNNNNNNNNNNNNNNNNNNNNNNNNNNNNNNNNNNNNNNNNNNNNNNNNNNNNNNNNNNNNNNNNNNNNNNNNNNNNNNNNNNNNNNNNNNNNNNNNNNNNNNNNNNNNNNNNNNNNNNNNNNNNNNNNNNNNNNNNNNNNNNNNNNNNNNNNNNNNNNNNNNNNNNNNNNNNNNNNNNNNNNNNNNNNNNNNNNNNNNNNNNNNNNNNNNNNNNNNNNNNNNNNNNNNNNNNNNNNNNNNNNNNNNNNNNNNNNNNNNNNNNNNNNNNNNNNNNNNNNNNNNNNNNNNNNNNNNNNNNNNNNNNNNNNNNNNNNNNNNNNNNNNNNNNNNNNNNNNNNNNNNNNNNNNNNNNNNNNNNNNNNNNNNNNNNNNNNNNNNNNNNNNNNNNNNNNNNNNNNNNNNNNNNNNNNNNNNNNNNNNNNNNNNNNNNNNNNNNNNNNNNNNNNNNNNNNNUAUUCCACGAUAGAUUGUGCGCCAAAAUAGAAUAGCUCAGAAUCCAAGCAAAAGCAGCAAAAGGUGUUCUGGAGGGUGGCACGGCCGUGCCAAGGCUAGCACGGGCCGUGCCAGGCUUCGGACUUGUGGGAGACAUAUUUUGUCUCUCAAUCUUCAUAUUUUUGUGUCCAAUCUGCUCCAAAUCCCUUUCUUUUACUCCAAGAUUCAAUCCAUCCAAUAUUCUUUCCUGAAAUAUAAUAAAUUGCAAUUUAAAGUAAACUAUCCUAAAAAGGAAAUAAUACUAAUAUAAAAUUAUAUAAAAUCUAAAUAAAACUAAACUAAAAAGCAUAUUAAAAUAGACAAUAAAUGACUCAUCACGAACAAACUCACAGCACCCAAGUUAAUAGCAUAAAACGGCAAAAUACCUCCAAAUAAUAUGAUAAAACCUAAGUCACCGAAAUUCACAUGCUUCCGGAUCUUCAACGUUGAUGCCCAAAUCAUUGGUUGAAUUUGUAAUUGACUGAUGCCGAUCUUUCAAUAGGAAAUAAACGAACACCGCGACAAGAAGCGAAAUCAAACGUCGCACAAGAUAAUGAACAACACAACGCCGUACUUAGACGACGAAAUCACAAAAAAACACAAAAGAAAAAACUUGAUAUAUGUGAAAACCACUUAUUUAGAUUGAAAGAAAAGAGAAAAAAGAUGUCGAGGGGUGAUUCUAGGUCAAAAAAUGACCUAAAAUAACCACCCUUUCUCGAUGAACGAAGGAGAAAGAAAGUUUAGAGUUGGAGUUUCUCUCACUAUGAUUGAGAACACUUAGGUUCACAUUGUAUUAAUUUGGGACACUAAAGAAAUUUGGCAAAUGAAUAUAUAUGCCACACUCUACAGAAAUUAAAAAAUUUGUAUCCAACUAACUUGUUUGGGACAGGCCAGUUCUGAUAUAUUUAUAUUAUAGCAUAACUUCUUUAGAUUUCUGUAUCAUAUUUGUUCAUAAUUUGAAACUGCAAGAUUUGCACUCUGUUGGAUCAACCAUUUUCAUUUUCAUCAAGAACUUCCUUGCUGUGUAUGUGUGUUUUUCUUGUAUUUAAGGCUCAAUGAAUUCUUUUUCAUUAUUAUACAGGAAUACUAUUAUGAAUAGAAGUUUAUAUUAAUUGGAGCCUUGUCAAAUGAGUUUAAAUUCUCUCAUUUGCAUGUGAGUUUUUCAAAAAUGAUAAAUACUUGGCAAUGACACUAGCGUUCAUUACAUGUGAUGAUAACAUUAUAUUUUAUAGAACUUGCACACAUUUCAUCAGCUUCCUGAAUCGAUGAGGUAGUAGAAAUAGAUAAUGUUAUCUCAGUUUGUCUGGAACUUUAUAUCAUUAAUGACAAAUUUUAGGGUUGGAAAUAUCCCGGAACCUAUAGCCUCUAAAAUAUAGUCUGAUGCUAUAUCUACUAUAUAGGCUAAAAUAUAUUUUUGAUCAUUUCAAAUAUAACGAGUUUGGAUUUUGGUCCUGGUAAAAAAAAGAAAUUGAAAUAAUGUUUAAGGUUGAUAUAAUGAAAUGUCUACUCCUGUUAUUGAUCACAUGGUUCAUAGUUACUGUCAAGUCUGCAAAUCAUGUUAGAGCAUUGGCAAAACAAGUUAUAAAUAAUGAUGUUAUUAUAUAGUAUAUGAUGAUUUUGCAAUAAUGUUUAAGGUUGAUUUUUCAAUAAUGAUUUUUAAGGUCUAUAAUACUUUAGAAUGAAAAAUCAAUUGAAACCACGGUGUCAAACUUAUUCUUCACGGGUUACCAAAUCGACGGUUGGAUUGAAUGAUAAUAAAAUAUACUCCUAAGUCCUAAAUCAUUUCUGUUAAAUUUGCCUUUAAUUGAAAACCAUAUGAUAUGUCAAUGGAUACAUAAAAAUAAGUUAAAUUCCCACAAUAAGAAUGUCUCCUACCAUCUCUCUUCCGACUGUUAUAUUGAUUCCUUAAGUUUGUAAUUAGUCUUAUAUUUAGGGACAAUUUUUUUUUUUUUUUUGUAAAUUACAAGACGAUAUUUUCAACUUAUUCAUACUCUAAUACCAAGAGAGCACUUUGAUACUAUCCACCAAGUCUUCAACCUCAACCACACCAUUGUUAAAAAUAAUAUCAUUCCUCCUCCGCCAAAUUACCCAAAUCGAAGCAUUCCAGAUGAAACAUAAACCGCGCCUUAAUUUCUUCGAUGACUCCGCAUUAAACCAACACUCAAAAUUAAAAAAAAAAAGAUUGUGAGGUAUUAUAAAAUUUAAUUGAAGCCACCACAUCACCCUUUGCCACACUUUCAUAACCACAUCACAAUGCAAGAAUAAGUGCAACAUUUAUUCCUCCCUCCUUCCACACAACACACAAUUCUUCGAUGCAUCCGCAUUUAAAAACUCCUCCAGUAGCUAAGUUUGCUCUUGUCGGAAUAUGAUCAAGUAACAAAGUCCAAACAAAUGCCAACACCUUUGACGCAGCUCGGCUUUUCCAAUGUAACAGGCAUAUUAUUAUCAACCAAAAACAACCUCUCAAGAACUUCGUAGCAAGAAUUCAUCGUAAAUUCUCCCCCUUCCUCCGACCUCCAUCCCCGCGUAUCUCUUCCCUCUCCCAACACCACCCCUUCCAACAUUCCCAUUAAAUUUUGUAAAAGCUCCGUCUCCCACACAAAAAGGCCUCUACGCCACGUAAAGUUCCAUCUCUCCCCCUCGCCCCUACAAACCUCCCCUACACAACUAUCCUUUUGCAUUGAAAUCUCAAAAAGAUCCUGAAGCAGAAUGUCGGCCCUCCACCUAUCCUUCCAAAAACUAGUACUCAUUCCAUCUCGCAUCUUUCUAACCACCUUUGAUAUGAACCAAUGCAUCCCACCUCUAUCCUCCAGCAAACCCAAAUCUUUCCACCACGUAGAAGCGAAACGGUUACCAAUCACUCCACUACGGUCCCCCUUGUCCCCCAACCUCUCUCCAUAUUUAUCUUCAAGCACCCUCUUCCACAAAGAACCAUCACCCUUAUGAAGCUUCCACUUCCAUUUUGCAAGAAGGCUAAGAUUCAUCAACUUCACAUCUCUAACUCCCAAACCUCCUUUUGCCUUAGGUAAUUGACAAACUGUCCUCCACCUUACCCAACACAUCUUUCUAUGACCACCCCCCCCCCCCCCCCCCCAAGAAAAUUUCUUUGGAGAGCCACCACCAUCUUUACCACCUUAGCCGGCAUUUUCAAAAAGGAUAGAUAAAAAAUCGGAAUAGAAUUGAGCACCGAGUUUAAAGGGACAAUUCUUCCACCCAAACUAAUGUAUCUAUUACCCCAAGAAAGUAGCCUCCUCCUCAAUUGGUCCACCAUUGGUUCCCAAGUUUCCACUUUUCUAGGAUUCGCCCCCACCGAUAAGCCUAAAUAAAUAAAAGGAAUUGACCCUACACUACAAUUCAAAGAGUUACUCGCCAUCCCCAUAAAUUCCGCAUCCACAAUAAUACCAAUCAAGCAACUUUUGUGGAAAUUGACUUUUAGACCCGAGACCAACUCAAACCUCCACAACAAAGCCUUCAAAGUCCAUAAAUUAUCAACCGUUGCCUCACCUAUGCAAAGAGUAUCAUCGGCAUAUUGAAGAUGUGUUAUGUUAAUGCCCCCCGGUUUAAUCUCAAAACCUUUAAACAAAUUUCGCUCCACCGCAUUCCUCAUCAACCCACUAAAUCCCUCCGCUAUCAAAAGGAAAAGAAAUGGAGCCAAAGGAUCCCCUUGUUUCAAUCCCUUUUGAAUAUUGAUUUCUUCUGUUAGGCUCCCAUUAACAAGGAUAGACAUACUCCCUUCAAACACACAAGACUUCAUCCACCCAAUCCACUUAUUACAAAAACUGCAGCUUCGCAACAUGUAUUCCAAAAAUCCCCAAUCCACAGAAUCAUAAGCCUUUUCAAAAUCCACCUUUAAGAUUAAAUAUUCUCGAUUUGAUCUCUUCACUAAAUCAAUCACCUCAUUAUCAAUCAACACCCCUUCCGCAAGAUGUCUACCUUUCAAAAAAGUCGAUUGGGAUUCGAAAUAAUAGGACUCAUUACCUUUGCUAACCUUGCCGCCAACACCUUUGAUAGCAACUUAUACCAUCUUCCCAAAAGCGAAAUCGGUCUAAACUCCUUUAAAGAAACCGGACCUUUCACCUUUGGAAUCAACGUCACAAAGUAAGACAACAAACUCCUAGGGAACACUUCAUUACCAUGGAAUUGAUCAAAGAAAAUUCUCACCUCAUUCUUAAUGAGAUACCAAAAUUUCUUAAAGAAAGCAAAAUUAAAACCAUCCGGUCCCGGGCUGUUAUUACCAUCACUCUCCUUAACAACCUUUUCUAUUUCCAACAAAGAGAAAGGAUCUAUCAACACUCCAUUCCUCUCGUCGGAAAUAGAAGCAAAAUUCACCCCAUCCAACCUAGGCCUCUCCCACUCACCACUCGAAACAUGCCUUCGAAAAUGAUCCACCACCGCUCUCUUAAUCUCCAAGGGACUUUGUAUCCACUCACCUUCCACCUUAAAAGCCUUAAUUGCAUUACGGGAGACACUCGUCUUAAUGCAUCGGUGGAAAUACUUUGAAUUAGUGUCUGUCACCUUACUCAUGUUAUUUUUUCCUUUGUCUCUCUUUAACUUGGUGAUACAUGCACAACAAGGUUUCAUAGAGAAAAGGGAACAUAAGGUAUUCAUAAAAAACAGAAAGUAACAUAAAUUAAAUUAUGUAUCAUGCUACAAAUCAUCAAUUUUUUCUUCUUUUCUUUUUUGACAAUUUUGCUUUUCUUCCCACCACUGGAUCCUCCUGAGCUAGAAGCAUCAUACAUUCUGAUAUCUCAAUAUCACUAAGACGCAAUUUUAUGCAAUCUUGAAGAUCUUUGUACGAAUCUCUCAAUUCUUUAAGCUCAGAGAGUUUUGCCACAUCAUUUUGCUUCAGAAUCUCAUCAUGAGUCUCAACUUUCUUUUCACCUUCUUGGAUUUGUGCCAACAGCUCAGCAAGUUCUUGAUUCAAUUUUUCCAUAUUGGAAGAAUCAGAAGAGGGGUUUCCUUCGGAGUUCCUACGUUUAGGCUUUAGUUCAAGAUACUUGCCAGCAACAACAUCAACUCCUGGGUGACCAAAAGAGUAAGGAUUAUCACCUGGAGAGAACACAACAAUAGCCACUUCUGCUCCGCACAAAAUCGACAAUUCAUUUGCUUUCUUAAAUAAGUCAGUCCGACGUUUUGAGAAUGUGACCUGCCUCGUGUUGGAGUCUUUCACCCUCUCAAUUUUAAUUUUGCGACGACCCAUGAUUCUGCAACCUAUUUCAUACAACAACCUAGCAAAAAAAAAGUUUAGAAAUAAAGAGUGGUUGUAAAAGUUGUGUGUAUAUGUUACACCAACUUCACUAUUUAUGUAAACAUUAACAAUAAUUUUAAAAUAUCCCAUUUUUAGUUAUUAUUAUUAUUAUUAUUAUUAUUGUUAUUAUUAUUAUUAUAGAAAUAUUUUAUUAUCAUUCUAACUUUACAUAAUUGCCCCUAAAGUUUUAGUAUAUUAUAAUAUUUUAUUUAUUUUUAAUUUAAUUGUACUAAUAGCGAAAAUGGACAUAUGAGAUGUAUUGGAAAACAAGAAAUCUAAAUCUUCUCUUUGUUUGAUAUGAGAGGAUUGCUAUUUUCAAACACUCAAACACACUCUCUUGACAUCCGUAAUGGUUAUCUGUGGGUACAAAUAGUAUGAUACUCGUCCCCGACUCAUUGGAUAAAUAUGAUACUCCUGUCCACCUCGUACACAUGUGGGUACUCACUAUACGGGUAACCCGUGGGUAUUGAGGUAUCCACGGGUACCCAUGAAUAUUUGAAUUUAUUUAUUUUUUGGUACAAAGAAGAACUUUUUUAAUUACCAAAAAACUUCUAUUUUUAAACAUCCAUACAUAAUUAUUCAAAUUUUAUAAAUCAUACCUAAUCCAUACAAAAUUCAUGAUUCUCACAUAAGUCAUACAAAUUUUUGAAGUAAAAUAAAAGUAAAAACAUCCAAAUUUCAUAUGCAUUCCAACCAUCAAUAAAUUCAUGAGUGGUGAUAGGUGAACCACCCUAGGUGGCAUACCACCAUAUACACCUUCCACAUGUAAAAAAAAUAAUAUAAAGUAAUCAUUUUAAGUGCCUUUAUUUUAUUUUUUAUUUAUUUUAUUAAUCAAUUAAAAACAACACAUCCAACCAUCGACUUUUCCUCUCUCCUUUCUCUGCCUCGCUAGCCACGGCAACGGCCGCUUUGUUCGUCUCUCAUCUCGACGGUGACGGCGCCGGAAUAAUAAAAACCCAGAUCUAUGCCACGACUGUCCUCCUCUCAUCUCGCCGCCACUAUCAUCACCGCCAUCGUAGCCACCAUGCCGUCGUUUUUUGAAACACCGUUAUCUUCCACCUAUCUCUCUCGCCUCCUUCGCCUUCUUUCUUCCUCUCUCAAAUCUGAUCUGGAAACACCGCCACCCUCUCCCCCAUCAACACCGCCGCCCUCAAGUCAGAUCUGAAAACUCAAAUGAGAAAGAACAAGCAAAGUCAUAAAGAGAAUGCAGAGAUGAGAGAGAGAGAGAGAGAGAGAGAGAGAGAGAGAGAGAAGGGGAACGUUUGAGUGAGGUCAAUGACAACGGAGAUGGUGGUGACGACGGUGGUUCAUAGCCGGUGAGGAGAAGGAAGGAAAAAGGAAGAAAGUGUGAGUGUGUGUUUCACGUUGAAUGGAGACAGUGACAUGAUUGAAAAAAAGGAUUUGCAAAAUUACCAAAAAUACCCUCUCAUAUAAGGGUGUAUAGAGAAGUGGUAUGAAAAAAGGGUGUUUAUGAAUCAUUUUCCUAAAUUCAUUUGACUUCCCAAUUACUGAAUUAAAAGCAUAUAAAUCUACAAAUAUAGAUCCUAAUAAUCAAUAUAACAAUGAUAAUUAAAAUAAAAUCUUAUAACAUUUACUAACAAUUUCAUUUACUUAAUUUAUUAUCGGGUAUGGAUACAUGCGGGCACGAGUAUCAUCAAAUUUGUGUCUGUAUCCAUAAAAAAAUGGAUAGUUAAAUACCCAUUUAUUAUACCCGUGGAUACUCAUUUUACUACCCACCUUGUGCAUGUGACAGAUUUUACUCACAAGCAUGGGUAGUAUUUUUAAUAAACCAUUAUAUUUGUUUUUCAUUUAUAACUACAAUAAAAUUUAAUUUUUUUACUAAAAAUGGAAAUAGUCAACCUUUUGACCAUUUUUUAGAGGUCAAACACACCCGUUAUUUUAAGUUAAAUUUUCAUAUUCCAUAUAUGUCUAGAAUAAAUUCUCUUUUGAAAAAGAGUAAUGGAAAAAAUAUAAUUGAAGAGUUUACUGAUGAGUCAAUAAUUAGUGUUUUUAAUAUAUUAUUUGAGUCUAUUUUAUUUAGAUUUUAUAUGUUUUUAUUCCCUUUUUAGAACUAUUUUACUUCAAUUGAAAGUUAUUUAAUUUCAGGAACGAAUAUUUAAAAGAUUGAAUCUUGGAGCAAAAGAAAGGAGAUUUAGAGCUGAUUUGGGGAAAAAAUAUGAUGAUUAUGUGCAAAAAUAUCAGGCACGGCCCGUGCCUUCAAGGCACCGCCCAUGCCUCCAACAUAUCCAAGAAAGCCAACCACUAGAGAGCUUGGCACGGCCCGUGCCUUCAAGGCACAGCCCGUGCCACCACCACAACACUCCUUUUGCUGCUUUUGCUUCUCCGAAAAGCUACCUAAUUUAGUUUAUUUCUGACCUAAAGCCCAUGGUUUUUUGUGGAACAUUUUAUUGAUGUAUUUCUUGGGGCUUAAGUUGUCGUAGACUAUAAAUAGAGUAGCUAGCAAACAUAUUGAAUCAUCUUUUGUUCUUUGAAAUUAAUAGCGAGAAUUAUUUCUUUGAAUAAAAGUUCUCCUUUUUAUUAUUUUAUUUUAUAUUCUUCUCCUUCUUCUCUUCUAUGUCUACAAUGAACAUGAGUGAUUCGACUCUUCUUUGUCUUGAGAUUGUUGGAUGAGUCUAAUGACCUAAUCCCUACCAAACCAAGCCUGGAACCCUAAUUUUAUGUAAAUCUAUUUUCUAAUCUAUUUCACCAUUCUUAUAAUCAAUAACAAGUAUUAAUCGAUGGAUCGAAAGAUGAAGUUUAAUAGUUGUUAUUGAUUCGUCACAAAUAUCAAGCGAAUGAUCGAAAGAUGAAGUUUUGAUAUUUGAACAAGUUAAUUUAGACAAGGAUUGUGAAACAUGAAAAUAGUCUAGCAAACCUUGAGACAAUAAAGUUUCGAGAUUCAAGGAUUUCAAUACUAAUCAACCAUGAAAAUAGAAGUGGUUGCUAAAGAAACACACUCACUGACACCGAAAGGAGAUGUGAUAGGCUAAAGAGAAACUUGUCUCUAGAAAAUAGGUCCAACAUAAGGUUCUAGGUUUAGGGUUUGGUUUGUGAAGGAUUUGUCACCAUGACGAACCAAUAAUCCUUUAUUAUUAUUAUUUUAAACCGUUAAAAAAAUCCAAACUUUUCAACUUGAACUCUCUUCUAAUCAUUGUUAAAGGUUAAUUAAAUUCAUAGCUCUCUGUCGGAACGAUACUCAUUUAUUACUACUUCGGUAAACCGUGCACUUGCGGAUUUACUAUAUCAUUUACUUAUUCAAAUAUUUAUUUUUUAGUGAACUCAUUCAAUUUUUUAUAAUUAGCUUCUAAUUGAAACGUUUACUAUUACUUUUAAAUUAUUGUUGUUUCUUGAGGAGAUAAAUGGUGUUGAUGAUUUUGGUAAAGAUGAUUUAUUGAGAAUGUUAAAUUCAUGAUGGUGUGAAUGUGUAUAGCUGACGAUGAAUAUAUGUAUAUAAAGUAGUGAAGUUUAUGAUGGUGAUGUUUUGUAUGAAAGUAUGGAUUUAGUGAGUCAUAUGUUCAUGCUUUCAUGAGUUUUGGAGUACGAUAUUUCAAUAUCCAAGUGGAGAUUAGGAUAAUUUUAUCCAAGUGAUGAUUUAGGAUAUUUCAAUAUCCAAGUUGAGAUAUGAUUGAUCGGUAAAAUAACCCCGACAUCCGAAAACGGUACCACAUGCAUGUAAAAUGGUGUCUAGAGGCUAACGACAAAAUAAGUAACAUGGUAUUAUCCUCUGGUGCCACCAAGGAAGGAAUAACCUCGGCUAUCAAGAGAUUGGACGUGCAAGCAUUCUGAUUACCAAAUAUGUUACGAAAGUAAUCAAGUAUAUGUGCUUCAAUGGCCUCGGGGUCCCUAGAACCGUGUCACCAUCCAUAAUCAUUGUAAUUUGCUUACAUACCGCUUUGAUCUGAGCAACACAAUGGAAGUAAGACGUGUUCCUAAUUCCUAUCCCCGUGAAUGAAGCUAUUACUGUGAGCUCUCUCCCUCCAGAACUGGUGCUGACAAUUCAAAGCUUAUGUUAGAACCAUUUGUGCUUGCAAGUUUUGCCCAAGAAGCGGGUCAGUUGGUCCUUCUGAAUGGAUAAGGUAGUGUUGAAGUUUUUAACUUCAUCAAUAGCAAGCUUAACUUGUCAAUCAAUAUCACCAAUUCGCUUCAAUUUCUGCUGCAAACACGCCAUGCCCAUGCCAACUAUAGGUUUCAUCCAAAUCUCCUUGACAAGUCGUUUACAAUCAGCAUGAGUUGUUUAAGAUUUGAAAAUUUUGAAAGGAGUAGCAUGUGAAACCGAAGAGAACUCUUGGGAAACUAAUAAGGGGUGGUGAUCCGAUUGGUGUCUAACCAAAGACCAACAAGAAAUAUUACGCCAAAAAUCCAACCAAUGAUCAUUACAAAUUGCCCUACCAAGACGGAGCGUCAUGCUAAAUCAAUAAAAAGAGUGAAUCGACAGACACAUAAUGCAGUCACAAUGCUAGUAUAUUCAAUAAAGGGGAUCUCAUUAAUAUUUCAAUGGACUUUGCUUUUACAUUGUUUUUAUUUUUAGGGAACUUCUACAUUGUUUUUUUUUUUUUUUUAAAACAACUUCUACAUUGUUAUUUAAUGUUCCACUUUUAUAGGGUUCUCCACAUCUUAUUAAUGACCCCACUUUUUUGAAAAUUGAUUUUUUUCCUUCUCUCCUCUUGAUAUUAUUUUUCACGUUUUAUUCUUCUUCCUCCUCACCUUUUCAGAUUUUAUUCUUGUUUCUUAUCUCCACUGCCACUAAAACACACCAAAACUAAAACUUAUUAUGCUCUCACGUCACUUUCUUCUUAUGCUUUGAAGGACUUUAUGCAAGGAUAUGGCAAGUGAAAAAGAACAACCCAUUUAUACUCAUAUGGUUGUUGUACCUGAGUGAGUUAAUUCCUUAAUCAUUUUUUUUAUUUCACUUUUUUUUUUUCUUCUUCAUUGUUCUUGUUCUUUGUUUCAAUUGUUCUUCAUUUAUACCCAUUGCUGUUUCGGUUUUGUUUAUGAUGUUCCCUUUUUCUGUUUUUGUUCUUUUCCCAUUGUUGUAGUUUCUUUUAUCUGCCUGUUCCCUUAUAAUAUGCUUUUUCAAAAAAAGUUAAUACAAUUAUUAUGGCAAGUGAAAAAGAACCCAUAAGUAAAUUCUUACUUGUUUUUUCAUGUUAUUACAUUUGUUAUUAGUUGUUCUUUCAUGUUAAUACAUUUGUUAUUAGUUGUUCUUUCAAUUGCUUUGCAACUUUACUCCACAUUUUAAACCUUCCUGCUUUCAAUUUAUUUAUGUAGGUUGAGAAUCACAAAUUUGGUUGAUUUGAACAAUCUUCCAAACAAUGAACCAUGUGGUAAUUCAGAAAGUGGAGUAGUUGAGUUGAGUAGCAAUGAACAAGAAGCAAUUACUAUUGAAAACGAUUUUGAACCUUUUAUAGGGCAAUGUUUUCUAAGUGAGGAAGAAGCUUUCAAAUUUUAUGAGAAUUAUGCCAAAAGGAGUGGGUUCUCAAUUAAAAAAGGUAGGUUUGUUAAUAAAAAUGGGAUAAUGCAAAGGAGAGAUUUGUUUUGUCACCGAGGAGGAUUUCCUGAUAAAAAAAUUCAAGAUCCGUCUAAAGAACAACGAAAUAGACCAUCUUCGAGAUGUGGAUGCAAGGCAAGCAUGACAAUCAAAUUGAAGAAAUCCUUAGAGAUUUUUCCAGAAGAGUGGCAGGUUAUUGAAUUUAUAUCUAACCACAAUCAUGAUUUACUACCUUCAGAUCAAGUGCACUUCCUUGCAUCUUACCGCAAAAUUUCUAAGGAAGAAGAGAAGCGGAUAUUGCUAUUAAAAGAAGCAGAUCUUUCAGUCAAGCAAAUAAUGCGUGUUAUGGAGCUUGAUACUACUUACAAGGUAAAUACUUAUAAUAUGCCUUUUGGCAUCUUUGUUGUAAUCGACAAUCACGGCAGAACAAUAUUGUUUGGUUGUGCGCUCAUUCGAAAUGAAACAGUGUCUACAUUUCAAUGGUUAAUGAAAGUAAGUUCAUAUACAUCUCUCUCUUUUUUUAUUAACAUUUAUAGACUAUUAUUUUCAUCUUUUUAUACAGUAUCCCAAUGUAUUUUCUAUAUGAUUGUUAUUAUUUAUUUUUUUUUCCCAGACUUUUGUUACUCUCAUGAAGAAGCCUCCAAAGACAAUCAUUACUGAUCAAGAUCCAUGGAUGACUCAAGCUAUUGCUUUUGAAAUGCCAUCCACAAAACAUGCUUUUUGUAUAUGGCACAUUACUGCUAAAUUUAGUGGUUGGAUUACUUCAAUUCUUCGAAAUAGAUAUUUCUCAUGGUGUGCUGAUUUUCAUAAGCUUUACAAGCUUGACAAUAUUGAUGAUUUUGAAGAAGAAUGGAUUAUAAUUGUUUCCAAGUACAAUCUAGAAGCAAAUAAGCACAUAAAAGGCUUGUAUGAAGUUAAGCAACAUUGGGUUCCGGCGUAUCUUCGUGGACAUUUCUUUGGGGGCAUGACAACAACUGGAAGAUCAGAGAGCAUAAAUGGAUUCCUAAAACGCUUUACUUCAUCUCGUUCAUGUUUAACUCAACUUUUCAAACAAGUAAGAAUAUGUAUGAUAAUUUAGUUUAGCCAUCUUGUUAAUGUUUUGUGAUGUAGAUUUGACUAUAAAUUUAUUCUAAAUUUUAGGUUGAUCUUGCUAUUGAGGACAUUGGACAAAAACAAUUACAUCAUACCAUGUUGGAUACAUACAGGGGAUCAUCACUUCGAUCUUUAUCCCCUUUAGAGGAGCAAGUUUACAAUAUUUUCACAAAAUAUGCUUUCAAGAAGUUUCAGGAGGAGUUUGAGAGGGCAACUCAAUACAAGAUUUGUGAAGAAAAUCAUGUAGAAUUUACUGUGAAAUAUUACAAGGAGCAACAUUCACAAAAGCAUAAAGUCUAAUGAGAUGGUGAUGUAGUUAGUUGUAGAUGCAAGCACUUUGAGUUUUGGGGUAUUCUUUGUCAUCAUGUAUUGACAAUAUUCAUUCAUAAAGAUUGUUUUGAGAUUCCAACAAGUUACUUGCCAUUACGUUGGUGUCGUGAUGAAUUUCAAAGACCGGUUGAAGUAAAUAUGAUGCUUAGUGAAGGAGGGCCUAUUGAGAAUAUGGAGAAUACAGUAGACUUAAUUAAAAAUCCACCAAGGUCUAAUACAAAAGGUCGUCCCAAAACAAAACGAUCAAAAGGAGGAAUGGAAUUGUCAAAGAGAGCAAGAAGCUGUACUUUUUGCAAGAGAAGGGGGCACAAUGUUACAACUUGUCCGAACAAAGAAAGUUAUGUUCAGCCAACAAUCACCAAGAAGAGGAAGAAUGAAGAUCAAGCACAACAAAAUUUGAAUCCUGUUUUUUUAUCUAAAGUCUUAGUAUCAGGCUGAGUAUGUUUUAGUAGUCUUGGAAUUAUUAUUUUUCCUGUUAUACUGGUUACUGUAGGCUGAGUAUGUUUUAGCAGUCUUGGGAUGAAUUUUUUUGCUGUUAUUUUGAGUUUUGGUUGUAUUCUCAAUUUGAACACUGUUAUUAUAAAUUUGGUUAUAUUGUUAUCAAUUUGAACACCGUAGUUUUGAACACCAUCAUUUUAAACGCCGUUAAUUUGAACACCGUCAUUUUAAACACAAUCAUUGAAACAUCGUAGUUUUGAACACCGUAGCAUAAGCCGAAUCUUCAUCAAUUUUUACAUGGAAUAUUGAUGAUUUUGCAUGGAGCAUGUGUUAUGGGAGUGAGUUUGAUGUGAAAAGAAAAAAUGUUUCAAAGAAAUAGAGAAGAAGGAAAAGAUAAAACGUGAAAAAAAAAAAAGGAACAAGAAUAAAAAAAUAAAUGUUAACAGAGGAGAAAUGAGAGAAAGAAAAAAUAACACGGAAAAAAGAAAGAAGAAUAUAACGUGAAAGGAGAAAAAGAAAUCAAUUUUCAAGAAAGUGGGGUCAUUAUUAGGAUGUGUAGAAACCUAUAAAAGUGGAGCAUUAAAUACCCCUUAUUCUGUGCAAUCUUGCAUAGGAAAAACCUUUUUUUUAAGGCAAAAUCUAUGGUACACCCAAAGAUACGAGUGUAUUGGUACACAAAAUCAUUAAAUUAAUAGUUAAAUGUGUUAUUUUUUUAAGAGAAAAAUUGUUUUCUAUCACCUAUAAUUAUAAUAAUUAAAUCUUAUUUAUCAAAAACAUCGACAAAAUAAAAUUUGAUUUUUCUGAAUUUUUAGUACUCUUAAUAGAUAAUUUUAAUUAUUUUUUACAAUAAAAUGUAAAAAAAAUUAAUAUGAUUUUUAUAAACAAUAAAAUGAUGUUUUUUUUCUUAUUAAAUGAUAUUUUCUAAAAUAUAAAUAUCAACAAAUAGCUUUUAUUUCAUAAAAAUAAUAGUUAAUUUAUAAAUUUUUGAAGUAAGAGUACCGGUACAUCUUAAUUUACGGGUGUACAGUUCCCUUUUUUAAUUAUAAAUUGAUCUCGGUGUAUCCCAUUUUUCUCGUUCCCCAAAACAAACAUAUUUAACACAUACUCAUACGGCAUACGCAUGCUACAAGGUUCUGCUUUCUAUCUACGCCGAGGUUUUAGGUUUUAGUAACUUCUCUCCUCGGUUAGGGUUUAUAUUUAUUUCUACUUUGUGAUCCCUCUUUUCUCAAUUUGUGAUGAUGGAAGAACAAGAUUCCGGUCCGAUUCCGAUGGACAUUGAUUCGUUUCCUCAACCUUCUGAUAGAGUUGGUCGUAGUAAUUUUUAUGAUUCCCGUACCUGGGAUCAUAUUUUGGGUGUUUCUCGCAAUGGAGAUGCGGUUGCAGUACCAGUAGCUAGUAAAAUUAACAAGGUUGGUGUUGCUGCAUUGGAAAAGAGUAAGACAUCAGAGAAAAAGGAGAAUAUUGAUGAAAAGGAUUGUGGCAAUGAUAGAGGUUUCUAUGAUUGUAAUAUUUGUUUUGUAUUGGCUAAGGAUCCUGUUCUUACUUGUUGUGGCCAUUUGUUUUGUUGGCCAUGCUUGUAUAGAUGGUUGAAUACAAAAUCACCAUUGUCGUUUACAAGAUCCUCUCUAGCUAAAGAAUGUCCUGUCUGCAAGGGUGAAGUUACUGAUAAGACUGUUACUCCAAUUUAUGGUGGUGGGAAUGACGUCGAGGUGGUUCGUGCUGAGGAUUCAAGUUCUACCACUCUGCAAAUCCCUCCCAGACCUAAUGCAAGGCGUGUCUCGAAGGCUCCUAAAGGAUUGUUUGCCAAUUUUUCCGUUUCUUUUUCCAGUAGGGUUUAUACUUUAUAAUUAUGCAACACAUAGUUGAGUUUCUAUGUAGUUUUAGUCUUUUUGAACUCUCAAACCCCUUGUUUAUCAUGAUCUUAUAAUGACUACAUUAUUAGUGCAUAGAUUUUAAUAUAUGUUUGCUGGUUGGUAUUUUGUUGAUAGUUAUAACAAUUUAUCUUGAUUCACCUACAAUGAAUUUUGCGUAGUUAAAGAAAGUAAUGUUCUUUGUUAUUUAUAAGUGUCGUUGUCUAGCUUCUUCUACAUGGAUAAUGACAUUCGCAUGCAAUCGAUUUUCUUUUAUAAACUUGGUAUCCGGCCCACCGACUAAUCUCAUGGUUGAAUCUCUUUGUCCACUUGCGAGGCCCCAUUUAAAGCAUGGACUAACCAAACCCGAAAUUAGCACGUGUGGAAUCGAAUUUGAGAUCUUGAGAGAAGCAUACUUCAACUACUCAAGCACACCGUUAAGCCAACUGAGAUGGGUAUAGAAUCAACCUUUAUCGACUAGGUAUAACUCUUCAAACUAAAACGCUCUUUCAAAUAUACACAACCAGUUACCGAAACAAGCUCCUCUAACUGUGACCCUCCGAUUUGAUUACUUGCUCAAACCACGGCUCUUGCCGACUUGAACUGCUGCACACAUGAAUUUUAACCACCCACACGUCAAUUUCAACCACCACACAUACUCUGAAAUCUUAGCCAUCGAACACGCUGCACACUGAUUUUAGGUCUCCUAUGCCAAAUUGUAACACCACAUGUCACAAGCUUGAAAUUUUUUGUGUUUGUCUCUCAUCUGUGAGUUUGAUGUAGGCUUUGUUGGUUAAGUUUUAGGUUCUGAUCAUUCUAAUUUUGAUUUGAGUUCGGUUGAAUGUGAUUCCUCGGAUCUCUGGUUUUAAGAUCUUUUCAUUCUAAUUCAGCUGCAUUCGAUGAUGAAUCCCUCUGCUUCCAUGUCUUAUAGGUUUAUGAUCGAUGAUUGAUUGCAUAACUUUGGCUUUUGGCUUGUCUUUGAUCGAAUCCUUCAUGAAUUUGAUGUGCAAUUAUGGUAUUAAUUUUACUAAUCCAACUUCUUGAAUAAAGAAUUCAACUCUGAUUUGGUAUUUUAAAAAAAAAUAAAAUACUAGCUUGUGACAAUCAUCAAGGUGUUGGUGAAAGUAUGCUAGUGGGUACAAACUAUUGGUGAUAUUUUUAUAGUUCUGCUAAAAGGAACAAUGUUUAUUGUGGUAAUGAUCAUAACGAACAUAAUGAAACCUAGAAAUAAAGGCUAAUAUAUAUAAGAGUGUGUGAAUCAGUGUCAAUGCCUUAAACUAAUGUAAGGCCAUGUUUUGACAUACAUAAUAUAUUAGAAUUGAAGGUAAAAAUGGUACAAAGAGUACUAGAAGUACUCAAGAUAGUCUAGAUGGUGAUUAGGAACUAGGCUUGGUUUUGGACACUCAUUUGGAGUUUUUGGCAUCAAUUGAAAGUUGUCUUGAGGUGAGUUCCCUAAUAAGCUUUGAUUUUUUUUAAAGUUGUGCUGUUGUAAUUAGUGAUAAAACUGGGCUGUUAUGGAUGUUUGUAUGGCUGGACUGUUGGCUGACAUGAGUUAUUGAGGUUAAAAGUGAUUAUGGCUGCAUUCUAAGGAUUGUUGGUUUAAAAUUCUUAUGGCAGUACAUGUAUUAAUCGAGCCAUAUCUUUUUCUGUGUAACCAGGAAUUGUGUAAUUGUUGGAAUUUUGGAUUCUAUGCUUAUUUACCUUCAGUUUGGACACAAACUUUGUAUGAUUCGGGUUAGAUACGGAUUCGAAAAACGCAUUUGAAGUUGGUAGAUUCUGCUGGAAUUUGUUUACGGGUUUUGGGACAGGGCUUCACUAAAACGGUAAGAACUCUCUCCCUGUUACUUCAAAUCAUGUGAACUUUGUUUCUAUGGUUAGCUAACGAAAUGCCCGACAUUUUGGUACCGGUUUCAUGAUUUUAGGUUCAGUAUUGAGGCCUGGAGGAGAGUUUGAAGUAAGGGGACUGAUACGAGUUUUGUGCUGAACCAAGGAAUAAAUUUGUUGGUGAUAAGCUAUGGGCUAGGGUUUGGUGUAGAAGCUUAGGAGCUUGAAGCAAAUCUCAGUAAAUACAUGUGAGUUCUUUAGAUAGUUUUCCUACCUUGGGUUCGUGCGUGUGUCCAUGUGAGAAUCAUGAUCAUGCUAGUUUAUGAAUUAGAGAAAUUAGUACCCCUUUGUGCCAUGAAUUGCCAAGAAAUGUUGUUAGUGUUUGCAAUACUAUUUAUUAUUAAUGUUUUCUUAUUCAAGUUUCAAAAAGGGAAAUAGGUGAGGAAACAUUUAACCAUUGAUCGGCAACACAUGGUACACGAGAGUAAGAUAACAUGGAUUACGUUUGGGUAGCAUAUGAUCUCUAAUUGUUGGGAAUUUUAUAGAACCUCAACUUAGAUAGUUGAGAACGACCAUGCUAUCAUGUAACCUAAGUACACUAGGUAUAAGCAUGUAUGAUUAAGAAUAAGCAAGUAAGUAUUUAUCGUUAAUCGGGUAGCAGCUUACGGACCCGUGGUAAAUAAGCAAGCAAGUAUAAGUUAUAAGACCUUUAUGCAUGAAUAAGACUUUAAGUAAGAUAUGUAGGUGUCGUGUCCUUCCGUUAUCCACGCCAAGGGGGAUACGAGAGGUUCUCGCCAGGGAAACGGGAUACGCUCCGCAAGGUAGGCUCGCACGUCAGUGAGAGAGUCCGAUGUACCUUAGCUAGGUUUUCAUCGGUCAAGUAAGGGAUUGUACUCGGGGUUACUCCACCCGAUACACUCCGUAAAAUGAACCAAGAUAACUAUGUUUGUUCAAUGCUAACCUCUAACUUAAUAUGAAUAAAUCAUGCAUUAAGAUUAUGAUUAGUUAUGUUAUGACAAGAAAUGUACAAGCUCAUGCAAUAGAACAAGGCUACAAAGAACACCGUUGACGAUCUUAGGAUCUCCUCGACCGUCCGGUUUAGAAUCGUGUCAUGAAUUAGUUAUGUUUAGGUCUUGAUGCGUUUAGCGUAUCUUGAUAUAGCAGUCUUAGGUUCCCUUGACCGUCAUGACACGUAGGAUGUACGACAAGACCUGUAAGCUAAGUUAAUAAGAACCUUAAGAUAGAUCUGGUAUGCACAACCGUCUAGGUAAGCAUGUUCCACACACGUAUAAUCAACCGUCAGGUUGUAUUGUAGACACAUGGUGACCAUAGGUUUCCCCCAAGGUUACCUAUAGCCUAGGACUAGGUAGAACUCACUGAGACAUUAUGUCUCAUCCCAAUCCUUAUUUGUUUCAGAUCAUCAGGUUGGUUUAGCAGGACUUAUCAAGCUUUUAGCCGGAUGGAUAAUCAACAAGUGCUCGUUCGUACCUGCUGCAGGAUGAUAUGGACUUUAAGGAUGUAUUUUCUAUGUUUUGGACGAGUAGUAUUGUAUUGUUGAUUGUACGAACGCGUAUUGUUGUAUAAAAUAUUCAUUCGAAAUCUCUUUGUUGUAAAUUUUAAUGUAUCCAAUACUGAAGAUAAUACACAUACUAAACUUAUACGUUUAAUGUGGGCGUUACAGAAAACCACGUGUGAGAAGAAAAAGAAAUACACUUAGUUCUAAAUUGUAUUUUUUUUUUUUUUUAAAGAAAGUUCUAAAUUGUAUAUUGCUAAUUGAUUUUACCGAUUAAGCAUAUGUCUAAUAUGUACUCAGGUCCAAAUGUGAUCCUUAUUAUUUUUAGUACAUUUUAAUAAAAACAUUAAAUUUGUUUUUCAUUUAUAGCUAAAUUAAAAUUUAUUAAUGGUCAACCUUUUGACCAUUUUGAGAGGUCAAACACACCCGUUAUUUAAUGUUAAAUUUGUAUAAUUAUUUGAUGACUUCCUUGUAUGUCUGGAAUAAAUUUAUUUUCUGCUCGUGAGCUUAGUUCAGUUGGUAUAGACAAUGCAUAAUAAUAUAUGCAAGGUCUAGGCUUCAAACCUCGACCACCACAACAAAAAAAAAAAAAAAAAAAAGAAUAAAUUCCCUUUUGAAAAUGAGGAAUGGAAAAAAUAUAUAAUUAAAAAAUUUACUUAUUCUAAUAUUUAUUAUUAGCUUCUAAUUUAAAUGUUUACUAUGAAUAAUUAUAUUAUUUUUAAAACUAUUUUAGAAAAUAUAAAAACUAAUUAUGUUUACAGAUAUCUACGAUAAAAAAAAAAAAAAAAAAAAAAAAAAAAAAAAAACAUUUUUAACAAAAUAAAUAAAAAAAAUAAUUUAAUUGAGCAAGAGAAAAAAAAAAAAAAACAUUUUUAACAUCAAAAUUAUAAGACUACAUGAUAAAACACUUUAUUCAACACUCAUAUUAUUUUUUCUCUUGUCUCUCUUUAACUUGGUGGUACAUGCACAACAAGGUUUUAAAGACACAAGGGUACAUAAACUAUUCAUAAAAAAAAAAAAGGAACAUAAGUUGGUUUCAUGCUACAAAUCAUAAAUUUUGUCUUCUUUUCUUUUUGGGUGAUUAUUCUUUUAUUCCCACAACUGGAUCUUGAGCUAGAAGCAUCAAACAUUCUGAUAUCUCGAUAUCACUAAGACGCAAUUUUAUGCAAUCUUGAAGCUCUUUAUAUGAAUCUCUCAAUUCUUUAAGCUCGAGGAGUUUUGUCACGUUGUUUUGCUUCGGAAUCUCAUCAUGAUUCUCAGCUUGCUUUUCACCUUCUUGAACUUGUCCUAACACCUCAAUAUGUUCUAGAUUCAAUUUUUCCAUAUUGGGAGAAUCAGAAGAGGAGUUUCCUAUGGAAUUCAUGCGUUUAGGCUUUAGUUUCAAAUACUUGGCAGCAACAAAAUCAACUCCUGGGUGACCAAAAGAAUAAGGAUUGUUCCCUGGAGAGAACACAACAAUAGCGACUUCAACUCCGCAUAAAAUGGACAAUUCAUUUGCUUUCUUGAAUAAGCCCGUCCGACGCUUUGAGAAAGUGACCUGCCUCGUGUUGGAGUCUUUCACCCUCUCUAUUUUAAUUUUGCGACGACCCAUGAUUCCGCAACCUGUUUCAUUCAACGACCUACUAAAAAAUAAACAAAAGUUUAGAAAUGAAGAAUGAUUGUAAAACUUGUGUGUAUAUGUUACACCAACCUCACUAUUUAUGUGAACAUUUUAGAAGAAGGUUCAUUGUAUCUAACAUUAGUUUUCAAAUAUCACACUUUUAGUCAUGCACAUCAUUAUGUUUAUUAUUAUUAUUACUAUUAUAUUUUUUUUUUGGUUAAUAUAUUAUUAUUAUCAUCAUUAAAAUUAUUAUAGAAAUAUUUUAUUAUCAUUCUAACUUUACAUAAUUGCCCCUAAAAUUUUAGAAUAUUGUAAUUUUUUUAUUUUUAAUUCAAUUGUACUAAUAUUGAAAAUGCAGACAUAUUAGAAAUAUUGGAAAAUGAGAAAUCUAAAUCUUAUCUUUAUUUGAUAUUAGAGGAGUAUUAUUGUCAAACGCUCAAAGACACUAUUUUGGUCAAACAAUAUAUUUUUUUUAUUAACACUAUACGUAUAGAACCAUCACUGGGAAGAGUACUAGUUCUAUUGGCUAAACAAACAACAAAACAAAACGUAGGAAUAAGAUCAAAAAUUAAAUUUAAAUCAAACUAAUACAUAUACAUAUAUAUACAUAUAUAUAUAUACAUAUAUAUACAUAUAUAUAUAUAUAUAUAUAUAUAUAUAUAUAUAUAUAUAGAGAGAGAGAGAGAGAGAGACUGACUCUGUUGACACCAAAUCUCAAACAUAUAAUUUAUUUAAUCAAAGGCUAGCAUGUUUCAUGGAAGCCAUGUCGCCCUGGGACCGGGUCUGGUUGGAUCACACGAACCUUACUCAUAAGAGGAUAUUGGUGGCAGACAACGCCGUUAGCGCUUACAAGAUUGACGUCAUGUGUACCAUGAUGGCCGGCUAUGACAUGGUCCACGGGGGUGUCUCUGAAAGUUCAACGGAUGAGGCAUCUCGUCUCUGGGAGGAGGAGAGAAUAAGCUUCAGGACAUCACUGUUUCCCACUGGGCAGCGAAGGAGGCCUGGGAAGUGGCCGAGAGGGAAGUACGCGAGCUUAACCAAAAGCUCGUCGUUUUUAAGAGGAAGGUUGAAGAGGCUCAACAGCAGCUCAGCGAUGUCGUUGCCAGGCUUAUGGACACCGAAAAGGAGGCCACAGAAGCGAAGAAAUUUCUUUCUUCUUUUGACAAGAAGGUGACAGACCUGUAUGUUGAGCGUAACCAUUUGAGUUAGAAUUUGGUUGAAGAAUCUUCAAAGACAGCUGCCUGGAAAGUCCAAGCUGAGGAGGCUCAUAAAAAGAUCUCCCUUUUGGAGAAAGAACUGCAAUAUCGUGAUGCGGUCAACAAACUCCUUUCUGCAGACAUUGAAGUCCUCACUUAUGCGGCUAAAGUACCGAUGGGUAAGGAAGCACUCGCUUUGAAACAGGUUUUGGUUAGCAAGACCUCGGCGGAGGUGGAGGCUUUGCUUCAAUGAGAGUGGGCAGAAGAGGUUGUGGCCCUUGCGGAACAGUGUUGGGGGUAGGGCUUUAAGGAUGCCCUCAUCCAAGUGGAGUUCUUUCAGGAUCCUGUCAAGGUUAACCGUUCCAAUGUUUAUCCUGAUCAAGAGGUUCAUCGAUUUGUGCCGCUUGAGGGACUGUGUUCGCCUGCUCUGUUUCAAGCUUUUUUCUUUUUCUUUUUGGUUGUACUAGAUUAUGUUCUGCUGCGGCGGUCGUCCUGUAAUAGACUAUUGGUUUUGCUUUCCUUAUGCUUCAGAUUUUCUCUUGUGCAUUUUUAAUUCGUGUCGCGUUCGUACAAGAUUGCCUUCUAUCGCGAGCCUUCUUCUCCCCCUCUAUGCGUGUUUGCAUUUUUAAUUCAUGCCAAGUUCGGAGGAGAUUUACUUCGAUCGCGCACCUUCUUCUCCCCCUCUACGCAUAUUUUCAUUUUUAAUUCAUGCCGCGUUCGGAGGAGAUUGCCUUCGAUCAUGUGCCUUCUUCUCCCAAUCUACACGUGUUUGCAUUUUUAGUACAUGCCGCGUUCGGAGGAGAUUUCCGUCGAGUGUGUGAAGUUUGAAAGUGGGCUUAGGCCGGAUAUCUAUCAGUAUAUGUGUGUUCAUGAGAUCCGAGAUUUUGAUACUUUGGUGCAUAAGUGUCGUAUGUUUGAUGAUGCUGGAAGAGUUAAGGCUAACUACUACAAGGCUCAGAAUGAGAAGAGAGGAAAGAGUCAUGGAGUUGGGAAACCGUACAACAAGGACAAAGGAAAGAAGAGAGAAGAUGGUGGAGGCUCUAAGCCGAGUUUAGCGGAUGUCAAAUGCUAUAGAUGUGGAACUUUGGGUCAUUAUUUAUCUAUCUAUCUAUCUAUGCAGUUCAGUUUCAAAAUUUUGAUUUGUAAAACAUGUGGUGUCAAUUGUGAAUCACACAAAAUAGAAGUUUGUUCAAAUUCUGGUGUGCAACAACAAUGCUAUAAACCAAUUAAUGUAGCCACUAUUUCACAUGUUAUUGACCUGUUCUAGUCUCAUUUUUCUUUGCUUGCUUUGAUAGACGCUGCUGUAUCCAAUGUCAAGCCAAAGACAUAUCGAAAGAAAGGCGGUUCAAGGAUUGGAGAUCGUCGAAAGGCACUAAACGACGUAACAAAUAAAAAAACUAGUUCAACCUACGGCAGCCUCAUCUCAGAAAAUGAAUUUAACCAACGAAGAUAUCGAUGACAUGGGCGGUUCUACCGUAUGGCGAUCUCGGGCGGUUGCCCGGGCUCGAUUGAUGAUUUGUUGCACAUUAGACUCAACAUAAAAGUUCAUUAACACAUUUACAAAAAGAAAAAUUUGGGCAAUCUGAAUUAAUUAUGAAUUUUUAUGAAUUUACACAAAAUUAAAUUUCUUCAUAACUAUGAAUUUUCGACCAGGGAUAAAUUAAUUAUGAAUUUUUAUUCCCUUAUAAUUAUGAAUUUAUUAAACAAUUUAUAAUUAAUUUGUAUCUCGUUUAAAAAUUACAAAAUUUCAUUGUGAAGGUUCUUAUCAUGUUCUAGUCAUGCCUACAAAAUUAGGGAACUAAAUUUGACUUAUGAGUAUACGCUUACGCAGAACAAAAUUUCAAUUUUGAACGUUUCAGUUGAAAAAUCAAAAUAAAUUUAAACGACUUCGAUAUGCUAUGAAACUUUACAGAUCCUUUUUAUGUAUUUUUAUAGAUGUCUCUGCAAAUAAUGAGCUCAAAAUUUGAUUUAUAGAUCGAGAUUUCCAUUGUUUUGUUUUUUGAGCUUUUGACACUUUAAAAAUUCAUAAUUAAUUUGUCGUUUGUCGAAAAUUUAUAAUUUUUUUUGUUAAAGCCAUAUUUUAACGUUCUUAACUAGCCUCUAGGAAAUCAUGAAAAAAUUCAAUCUCUCGAUUGCUUUUUUGGACUUCGCGUAUAUUACAGAUUAUAAAUAAUAAAAAUCUCGAAUUACAUGGUCAGAAUACAUGUUAUUUAAUUACAUGGUCAAUUUUCAGACUUCACGUAUAUUACGUGGUCAAUUUCAAUUAAUAACCCUAUUUUAAAUUGUACUUUUGUUGACAAAAUGAUAAACCUCUUUUAUUUCGAUUUUUUUUAGGGAAAAAAAAAAUUAAAAAAAAAAUAUUUCGAUUUAUGACUGUUUAUAUAUAAUAUUACAUGUGAAUUUACGAUUAAUUAUUUGUCCGGCUCCAUAAAUUUCCUGCUCCGCCACCGAUCGAUGAGAUUAUAAAGGAGGAAUUAUCUUUCCUACACGAGCACAACAAAUGCAUUGCAGCCGACGAGGCUUCAAUGAGUUAUUUCUCUUAGCUCUGUAUUUAAUUGUAGUUUAAAUAUAUGCUGUGACGCGUCCCUCAUAAGUUUAGUUAUGGCUGUCCUCUAACUUUGACAUAAACUGAAUCAAUAUCUUAGCUAGUAGUUCUAAUAUUACAAGUGAAUUGUUGUCUUUCAUUGUAGUUUUUAUCUACCGAUCUCUGUUCGUCUUGUGUAGGACAUGUUAUUAAUAAAUUUUGCCGUUUAAAAAAAAUUGUUGUCUUGAUUAUUGCGAUUUGAAUGUGACUGUCUGCAUAUGUCGUGCAUUCUUGUAUUGGCAUAGGAAUGGAAGUUUGCAUUACAAAUUCUUAACAAAAAAGUAUUUUAAAACAAUUCUUAUGAAUCCUUCAAAAAAAACAAUUCUUAUGAAAUGAGUUGAUUUAAUUGAAAGUUGAAACAUAUCCAAGUACUUCUAUUCUCACUCUUGGCCAAUUACUAUUUAGUUAUCCCUGUUUUCUAAUUUUUCUAAUUAUUAUUACUACUUUAUGCAGAGCUGAUAAAGUUAUUGUGUUAUGUCAUGGCUUUUUUACUUUCAAUUUGUUUAAGUUACAACCAUGUCUUUAAAGUUGGAAAAUUAUUGGUAGACAUACCCUUUUCAAUACCAUUCUUGUACACCUGCCUAUGUGGAUGGCAUCUUUGUAAUUUUGUUAAAAAGCAAAGGGUAAAAUUGGAAUUUUGGAUCUGUUUUUUCAUUCUUUCUCAAUCUCAGAGAACUCUGUUCUCGUUCUCUCUUUGCCCUCUUCCUCCUCCAACCCCCUCUUGCUAUCGCCGUCGCUGCCUCUCUCCUUGCUUGCAUCCAUCCUUUGAUUUUGACUCUCCCUGUAUCACUCUCUCUCUCUCUACUCUCAUAUGGAGCUCUCUCUCUUCUCUCUUCUUUCAGAUCUGAAAAAAUUCAAGCAACUAUACAGGUAUAUAACACUAUUGGAAAAAAAUAAGAAGAUAGAGGAAUUGAAAAAACGCAAUUAAAAAAAGGUUAAAUGAAAAAGGAAAAAAGGUCAACGGCGGUGGCCGAUGAUAUAGUGGUGGCUGGGAUGGUUGGAGGUCGAAAGCGGUGGUGAGGAGGAUGAUGGUGUGGUCGUGUUGACAGAAAGAGAGAAGCGGCAUCGGAGGUAGGAGAUGAAACCGGUUUGGAUUUUGGUGGCGGUGACCGAUGGCGGCUUGUGGAAGGGAUUGAAGAAGAGAAACGGAACAAGUGUUUUUUUCUUAAAAAAUAUUUUAUUUUAUUUUUUUCUUUUCUUAAUUGGACAUUUUUUUAUUAUUAAAUUUUGCCACUGGAGAGUGGUAGAAGGGUGUACAGACACGUAAGUGUGUCUACGUAUAAGUGCUCUUUAAAGUUAGAGAUUGCUCUAGGAAACCGUUGAUUAUAUAUAUUUAAUGCUGCAUGAGCUAUUUUUAAUAAAGUAUAUAUUUAGUGUAUAAUAAAAUUGUUCGUUUCGUUGUGAGUUUAGCUCAAUUGGUUGGAACAAUGUAUAAUAACAUAUGCAAAGUCUGUGGUUCAAACUCCGGCCACCACAAAAAAAAAAAAAAUGUUUGUUCACAAAUCUCAUUUGUACUUUUAAUUUUGUGUGAG